rnacentral:lncRNA from 1 species
GCGUGUGAGGCGGUUUCGGCGUGGGGGUAGGCUUGUGCGGCGGUGUAGGCUUAGGAGAGUGCGGCGGCGGAGGGCAGGGCACGGACGACGGAGGCGUCAGCUUACGCGGAGGUGGCGGAGGAGGAAUUGGUUUGGGGCAGGACGGGCACGCCGCCGACGGCGUGGGCUGCACGGCGAGGGAGAGCAGCGCCACCAGCAGGAGCGGGGCAAUCCGGGCCAUCAUGCUCUUGGAGCUUGAUGUCAUAAUAAGAGUACUUGGUAGCUAGCCACCGCUCGAUCUAUGUAAUUUCUUGUUCUUGCCCAACACAAUGUCUGAGGAAGAAGAAGAAAGCGGGCGUGCUUAUAUAGGCGAGCUAGCGAGCGUGAGGUGGUGGAGCGACGAGAGGAGCCGCUCUCGUGCACUGUCUUGGUCGACAUGCAUGACGACGUUCCCUGGACUAUCGGGCGUGGAUUAACAAUGAGAUGUGUAUGUGAGGAGAAGAUCGAUCGUGUGGUCGACAUAUGAUAGUAUACACGUACUCCACUUGGUUGAUUCAAGUGGAGUACUACGGAGCGAGCCAGACGUACGUUCGACUGUCUCUCGUUCCACGUUCUGCUGAUUCUUUUCUUUCCUUCUUUCUGCAUGUUAUUGUCUUUGAGGAACAAAUAGUAACUGGGUUGACGGCUAGUUGGCAGGGCUAAACAUGCUCUUAGCCUCUGGUGAUCAAUUUUGAGGUGUAGACAUACAUAGAUAGAGACAUGUACCUGCUCCUAUCUUUAUCGAAAAAUGUAUAUGCUCCUACACUGUACGUAGCCUCCAACGGUCAAUUACAUGAUUGCCGCUUGAAAUCUUAGUAAUCCAUGCAAAAGAAAUCAUAAUCAGGGGAAUUAGAUUACGUACAUAUGUAUGAUUGGCAGCCAUGAGAGCUGGAUUACGUACGUAGGCACGUGCAUCUGGACGUAGAAACUAGAAAGAAAAACUAUGGAUGCAUGCGGUCUUAGCCAGCUAUGUAGCACCCUAUCCAGAUAUUCUACUCCACGGAUCUCGUUUGACAAGAAAACAUGCGCGCAUGUGUGCUAGUUUCAUCCACAGACAAAACCCCAACGAUUACAUUUUACACAAACUAGCUAGCUCGACAUGAUAUGAUUGCCAGCAGGCCGGUUGCCCAUAGUAGGUGCAACUUGGCAACUAAUCCUGCAGCCAGCCCAGCUAACGCUAGGCAAUAACUAGCAUGUCGUUGGCAAUACCGAAACUACGAGCAACUGUUGAAAGGAAUCCAACCACAUUGGCCAGGGCAUAGCUUUUCACCCAGCAGGAGAGUGAAUGAAUUGACAUGCUCAAAUCUUAGCCAGCUAUAGCAGAUAUUUUCUAGACUACACACAGAUAUAAUAUUUGACAAGAUAACUUGCAUACAUGUGUGCCAGCUCCACCCACACAUCCAUGGACCCAUGGAUUACAUUUUACACACACACGCACACAAGCUAACAAAAGGCACGAUGCAUGCAUGAUUGCUAGAGGCAAGCAGAGUUGCCCCGUAUACCUGCAACUUGCUUACAAAUCCUGCAAGCUGCCUAGCUACGCUAGAGGUAGCCCGUGUAGAUGCAAGCUGCAAAUGCUUUGUCCCGGGCCGUUCAAAUCACGACGCGCCAUACACGGGAAGGCUUGGCGCCUUCCCGUGCCGACCUAGGCGUAGCUAUCUGUCCGUCUGUCCGCCUUCACACCCUGCAGCUAACCGGAUGGAUCGGUCCUUGGAUCGUAGCGUGGAGGCCGCUACAUGCCAGUGAUCGAUUGGGAAACUAGCGGGCGCCCUGUUUGGGAGGGUUCAUGAAUCAUGAGUGCUUAUUCACACUACCGGAAGCUUAGUAAUCCCUAAGGCUAGUAUCAUAUUAUCAUACAUAUGAUAUAUUCAUACUUCCUCUGUCUUAAAUAUAAGGUUUCUAAAGAUUUCACUAUGAACUACAUACGAAUGUAUAUAGACAUACUUUAGAGUACCAAUUCAUUUAUUUUGUUUCGUAUGUAUUCUGUAGUGAAAUAUCUAAAAAGACUUAUAUUUAGAAACAGAUGAAGUAGUUCAUAUUAUUACAUAAAUUAGUAUCAUAAUUGAUGUUAUUUAUUGUCAUGUAUGACACGUAGUAGGAUAACAUUUAUUAUGAUACGUUACCUAUCUAUGGUGCUCCAACUCUUCUUUUUUCCUUUUAAUUGUCUGCCCCGAACCUGGUAAUCCUUCAAAAGGAGCAUCACACUUGUUGUUAUGGAAAUAUUUGGUGCAUCAGCACCAUCGAUAUCAAUGCAUUGACACAAAAUUUCAAAUGUAAAUUUGAUUUUAUAUAGUAGUGAAAGAGAAGAUGAAUACAUCUGCUUGAAAUAAGAAAUUCAUCCGAAAUAAAGGAGGGAGAUAACAAAGUUAUUGCUGGUCUGAUGAGAAAAAAAAUAAGUUUAGUUAAGAAUAAUAUCAUGGCAAGUGUGCAAGCAUAUCUAGUCAUACAUGGAGGACAUAGUAUCCUGUACCCCCUCGUGUAAUCCAAAAACUUCAUCGUAAAAGUCACACAAAAAUCCAAGAGAAAUUAAAUGCAUAGAUACGUUGUGUAUCAAUCACAUCACAAAAUUUGUAUCCAAAGUUAAAGCAUGACACGUGAAAUGAAAAAUACAAGUCAGUUGUCUAGACACUUCAAAGUGGGUUGUGAAUUUGGCCAGUUAAAACUAUCAAUGCUAAAUUUGUCUUUUUCGUUUCUCGAGCAACAUAUAUUGGUCUGGGUUUGAAAUUUUGUGGUAAUCCUUUACAGUGUGGCCCACUCAGCCCGCCUAGCAUUUUGUGUAAGUUCUGCCACUGUAAAACUAGCUCAUCUCUACCAUGAACCAUGGCGAGCGAACGAGUUUGAUGUGUCGAGGCAAGCGAGUGAGUGCACAUAUUGCCCUCUUUCCCGUGCUACAAGGAGAAAUAUAACAAAAACAUAUUGUAUGUUGGUGCCCUUUUCUCCGUCGCUCGCUAUACGUGACUAAACUUUGUACACAUGACAUACAAGUCAAAUGAGACUUCAAGAAUUUCUAUCCUUAUGAACGUACACAUGCACAUUCUAUCCUUAUACACGCACAUAUACUCAUCUUAUGAACGUACACACACACAUUUUAUCCUUAUGAGUACCUUCUAGAGACUGAGCCGACAUAUCAUCUUGAGAUUUACGGAGUCAUCGUAGGCGCCUCGUGGUCGACGAAAACGUCUCCUUCCCACUGAAAGCGUAUCGCGAAAAUUUUGAAAUAAAUCCAGCAAUAAUGCAAGUAUCAGGAUUUAAACCCUGAUGGGCGGGGAUACCACAAUCCCACCCAACCACAGGUUGGUUUGCUUCUAGGGUUUUAUUAAGUUGUACUCUUUCCAUUCCUAAAUAUAAGUCUUUUAAGAGAUUUCACUAAGAGACUAUAUACAAAGAAAAAUGAGUGAAUCUAUACUCUAAGGUAUGUCUAAAUACAUCCGUAUGUAGUUCUAUAGUGAAACCUCUAAAAAGACUUAUAUUUAGGAACGGAGGGAGUAGAUUUUUAUUAUUUCUCAGUCGGCUCAAUCUUUUGUGCUGAUAUGUGCCUAAAUCGGUUCCAUGUGCGUAGGUUUUCAAGGUUGCUUGAUUGCAUGCACACAGUUGAAACGUAUGAUUGCAGUGGGAGCCUUUCCAACUGUUUCGGGGUCAAGGAAAAUUGGGAAGAUAUGGCAAAAACUUGCAGGAAUACAAACGAUUGCGCGCGGCCGGCCGGGUAUGCAUGCACGGCCCGCCCCGUGUUCAACCUAUUCGGGCGUGAAGGAAUAGCAAUGGCGGGGGCUACGACGGGCUACUGUAUUGCACGCGGCCGGACACGCAACGGCGCCAUGCACGGGUGUGCGCGUACGUACGUACGUGUCCAUGGUGCCAGCACGAGUGGACCAGCACACAUCACACACUCACAUACGCUUGCAUGCAUGCAUGCUUCAACGGCCAGCCAGCUGCACCCAUUUGCCUGCCAUGCAUGGAUUUUGUCCGAUCCGUGACAAGCCCGAAGAACCCGCUGUGGGUAUUGCAUGUGCCGUGUACAAUGCCAAACUUCUACACCAAGUGGUUAGCUUGGUAAGCUAGCUAUUAACAAAAAUGCAAUCACACUAGUGGAGAAAGGGGUAUUAGAACCGAUUGGUAAGGGCCUUUGGACCCGGAUACACAUCCGGUGCUACGUAUCCGGGACUAAAGCCCCCCCCCCCCCCCCUNNNNNNNNNNNNNNNNNNNNNNNNNNNNNNNNNNNNNNNNNNNNNNNNNNNNNNNNNNNNNNNNNNNNNNNNNNNNNNNNNNNNNNNNNNNNNNNNNNNNNNNNNNNNNNNNNNNNNNNNNNNNNNNNNNNNUGGGCGCCGAAGAGUGCGCGCAGGCGGAGGACCUUUAGAACCGGUUGGUAACACCAACCGAUCCUAAUGCUUUUUUUUUCUUUUUUUUUCCUUUUCUUUUCAGGGUUUCCGAUUCCGUAUUUCGGUGUUUCCGUGUUCCGUAUUUUCAGGGUUUUCGUUUACGUGUUUUCGGUUCCGUAUUUCCGUUUACGUCUUUCCGAUUCCGUGUUUCCGAUUCCGUGUGUCCGUGUUCCGUUUUUUACGAACACGGAAUCGGAAAUCACGUAUCCGGAAACACCGAUUCCGUGUUUGCGGUUAAGUGUUUCCGAUUCCGUGUUUGCGGUUAAAUGUUGAUGCACCAAAUAAAAGUACAUAUAUACAUGUAACACGAAGUACUGGACCGAUUAUCAUUACAUAAUUUGAAGUUCGUUUCCUAUAGCUGUAUACUUGCAUAGAGAAGGGAGCUGGCUAUUGGUUCAUAGGAUGGAAAAAUUCUCCGCCUUCAUCUAUGACUUGCGUGAGGAGAAAUCCUGCCAAUUCCUCUGCAACUGCCUUGCAACGUUGGAUUGGUCUGAGCAUCGCCCGCUUUCGUUGCAGCUUUAAAAGAAGUAGAUGAAAACAAUUAAGUUAUGAACAAAACUAAACAAAAUUGAUGGCAACAUAAAUAAAGUUGUGAAGAUCCGGUUACGUACCUCUAGAUUUCUGGAAGUACGGGAUUUCUCAUUGAUAAUCCUGUGAAUGUACUCGCAAACAUAGUAUCCACAAUAAUCAGUGCCCUGUGGUUGUUGCGGGACGCCCUAUAUACGAGAACAUAAUUCAGUCAAAUUAAUAAUAAUCAAGAGAAUGGUAAUGGUAUUGAAACCAGGGUACGUAGUACUACUUACUUUGUUAAUCUGAAAGUGGAGCUUGUCUGCCCAUGUACCGGGUUCUUCCUUGAUGAACAUUUGCCAAACCCUGUCCGACAAAGAAAAAUGAAUAGAAGAGUUAAUUAUUACUUACUUGAUAUCAGGAAAUGAACGAAAAAGAGGCCGAUGAACGAAAGAGGCCGAUAUAUAUAUACCUUUGAAGCAUCUGACGCGCGCUCUUCCAUGUGUCAGCGUCCCAGGUUAACGGGUCCCAGACUUCAACUUGUCCUUGAUCGAUUCUAAUGAUGAACAAUAUGAAGUGGGACCUGCGCACGUGUACACACGCAGUCAUGCAUACUCAUCAAUUACACUUAACAUCACGUAAGCAAAAUGGAAUGUGUACAAGACAGUAACACUCACUUGAAUCCGUAGGGCCAAAGUAUUUCUUUUUUGGUACUUUGUCGCUUCAAAAACCUUAGCAAAUCAUCCGGUGUAUCCUUGUUGAACUUUUCUAUUGUCUCUUGAUGAAACGAAUACGGGUCAAUGAACCCAAAGUCCCAGAUUCCUGCCAGCCUGCAUUCACGAAUCUUCAUUCUGCAUAGUAGCGUAUAAAAAGAAUGUCUCGUGAGUGAUAAUUAUACGGGCAAUGAACGCGAGCUUAACUAAAUAAUUAAAUUACACAAAUAAAUCACUUACAAACAGUAGCAGCUGACGAUAGCUUUGUCGAGGGCACGUUGAUUGUACAUCUGGAAAAAAUCAUCGAACCCAACCUCCACACCGUACUCUCCGAAGUAGUGUUGAUCCUGAACUGCCGUCAUGAUACAGUCUCUCUUUUGCCUUGCGGCCUCCAAGUACCAAACAUGUAAAUUCCAUAGUUGGGUUGUUAGAGCACUAGGAUUUUCGACCAGAGGGUGCUCGGGUUUAUAUUUAUAUACCACAUCAGCGAUCGUCGCCCUCAACAUCACCAGGGUCAUCUCGCCUGAUCUUAUACCGAAAUGCACCGCAUACCGGGCAGGCAUUUAAAUUCUCGUGCUGACCGCGGUAGAGGAUGCAGUCAUUGAUGCAUGCAUGUAUCUUAUGCACUUCCAAUCCUAGAGGGCAGAUAACCUUCUUUGCUUCGUACGUACUGCAGGGCAGCACGUUAUCUCUUGUAAGCAUCUUCUUCAUUAUUUUCAGCAGCUUUUCAAAUCCCUUGUCAGAUAUUCCAUUCUCUGCCUUCCAUUGCAGCAAUUCCAGGGUGGUGCCUAGCUUUUUGUGGCCAUCUUCGCAAUUUGGGUACAACAAUUUUUUGUGAUCUUCUAACAUGCGCUCAACUUUAACCCCUCGUUUUCACUUUCGCAGUUUAUCUGUUCUUCACGAAUGACCUGACGAAGAUCAUCAUCACACUCAUCAACAAUGUCCUCAAGUUCAGGCUCGUCUUCCCCCAUUUCAGUAUCACCGUGUUCACCGAACAUAGGAUAGUUAUCAUUAUCCUCUUCUUCUUCAUUGUCUUUCAUUACAACCCCUCUUUCUUCGUGCUUGGUCCAACAAAAAUAACUGGACAUGAAGCCUUCUUGCAACAGGUGGGUGUGUAUGGUUCUUGAGUUAGGGAAAUUUCUCUUAUUCUGGCAUUUUUUACAUGGACAAAAAAUAAAUCCAUUCUGCCUGUUUUUCUCAGCCACAUUGAGAAAACUAUGCAUGCCAUUAAGGAAUUCGGGACGACGUAGAUCACUGUACAUCCAUUGCCGGUUCAUCUGCAUUAUAUAAAUUUAUCAAAAACCAUUAUGCUAAAUCAUCAUGACUAAAUUAAUUAAUUAAUACAAAAAGUUCAUCACACGUUAAAACCAACGUAGCGUAGUGACCAUACAUAUAUAGUUCUCAUAAAAAUACACACUGAAACCAACCAUAAAAACUCUCUCUAAUUAAUGCAUUUAAAAACAACAACAAAUGCGAUCAAAAUCGCAACAAAGGUAACAAUUGACCCGACAGCAUAAUGAUACCAAGCCUCUUUACUAAUUGCAUAUUUUCUAAUCUUUCUAAUCUUCAGGCGCAUUGCGUCCAUCUCGCUCUUGUGACCAUCGACGACACCGGCAAGAACCUUUUCCAAGGUCAUCUUCUCUCUUUCAGUUUUUUCCAACCUUUCUUCAGUUUUUUUCAAUCUUUCUUUCAGGCCAACAUUUUCUUGUUCAACUAAGUGUAACUUCUCAACAAUAGGGUCGAUUGGCAUUUCCGGUUCCACUACCUCCUAGAUAAAAAUAUCUAUGUCAAGUUGGUCGGCGUAAUUAAUUGUCAUAUAAUCAGGAAAUGAAAAUAUGUAGUUAUAAAAGAUAAUAUACCACAUCCGAAUCAUAGACUGGCCAACGGGGACGGAUAUCAAAACCAUAGCGCUAUACAUAUAAAAAAAAUCUUACACAAUAAGAAAAUUAUAUACAAGUAAAUAUGUAAAUCAUACAAAUCAAAAUUUGUUUUGGUAAAUAAAAACAAUAGGCUCACCAAGGUUGUGUCGGUGACGGGGCGAUCGACGGCGGUGAGGAAGGGGACAAGGCGCGCGACACUAAAAAAAACCACAAAUCAUAAUUAAAUUUGAGCUCAAAUUACAUAUGUAUACAUAAAAAAUGAUGAACUCUCUCUAGCUUAGGCAUUUCAUCAAACACCUAGCUAGCACAACAAAAAUGAAAUGAGCAAGAAAACGAGCAAAACUUGCAAUGCCGGAAGAUGGAAUGUUGAUGCUAACCGUAGGACCGAUGGGUGCCAACAAUCUUAACAAAUGGUGAAGAAAAAUGGGGAUGGAUUAGAGCUCCCAAGAGGAAGGAGAGAGCAAAAAUGGAGUUGAGCUCGAGCUGGAAAAAAUGGAGCUGAGCUCGGAGUGGAAUAUAGGGGAGGGCUUUAGGACCGGUUUGUGUUAAAAACCGGUGCUAAAGGGUCUGACAGCGGGGCCCCGCAGUUGCUGCAAAAAUGAGAAAAACUUUAGCACCGGUUUGUAAUACAAACCGGUUCUAAAGGGUCGGUCCACUGGGCCCCCCUCCCUACAGCAAACGGUCCAAAACCCUUUAGGACCGGUUUGUGUUACAAACCGGUCCUAAAGGCCUUGCGGCCAUUUGCUGCAGGGAGGGGGCCCAGCGGACAGACCCUUUAAAACCGGUUUAUAUCCAAUCCGGGUCCAAUGUGGUUGGCUCAAUGCCCUGUUUUCUACUAGUGUCAGUCCAAAACUUCUACGCCGACUACCAUGUGUAGUAUUUGGAAAAUUCUACUAUGUCCUUAUCCGUCAUCCCUGCCGACUACUAUGUAUUCCCUCUAUAUAUCAUAUUAAAUGUAGUUAGAAAGAACUACUCUAGUUUAGUUUAUGGUAUGAUGAAGAGAGUAUUAGGAAAUUUCUAUGACCAAGUUAUUACAUUUUCUAAAUGGACGCUACUACACACCAACCAUUUGGUGUGCAGCAGCGUAGAGCGGUUGCCCUUAGUCGACCAUCAACCGUCUGAGAUCUCCAUCGGUGGGGGUUCAGUGUCGUCCGGUUGGGCCAGCUCUGGCCGUCGGAUUUACGUUGCCUUCCUCCCGCAUCUGUCUUUUGCCUUACCAUACCUCGGUUCAUGUUCAGACGCACCGGCAUCAUCCUGCGUAUAUUGGACGUCCGCCCGACCACCAUCCUUUGUGGACAGGCUCCCUCGGGCACCGACCUCGCCGCCCUCGUCACCGAUCACAACUCUCCCCUCCCCUCCCCUCCCCCUCCCUCCCGACGUCAUGGUGUCCAUGGCCGCAGCUCCAUCAUCAAGGGGUUGCAGCACACACCGAAAAACUGCCCCCACUGCCAGAGAACCACUCGUGACAGUUACAACUCCGCUUCCCAUGGUUGCAAUAUCACCCCGCAGCUCCUUCACCCCGCAGUCGUGUGCGGUUGCAGCUUCGCCGACAGCGAUUCCAGCAUCCCGCGUCACUUGUUGUAGCUCUGGUAGUAGUCGGUCCGAGUAAAAAUUGUCUUCAGUUGUUGCCUCACGGCAACAGUUCCAGCGCCCCACAUCGUCGGUUGCAGCUCUGCUAGUAGCUGGAUUAGCAAAAAAAUUAUCUUAGAUUGCAGCUUCACCGUGACAGUUCCAGCAUGCCGCAUCUCUGGUUGCAGCUCCCGUGUUAGUCGGUCCCAGCGAAACCCUCUCCUAGUAGCAGCAUUGCUUGUCGGUUGUAGCUCCGGUAGUCUCGAUCCCAUAAAAAAUGUUCGUCAGACCUAAAAAUCAUUCACCGGUCCGAGUUGUAGCUUUGGUAGUCGUAUGCUCCAACAAAAAGAUGGUUUCGCCCAUGUUGCAGCUCCUACUUAUCAGCCCGAGCAAAAUGACUCGUCGAUCCUAGCAAAUAUAUGUUUUGAUGCUUAUUUUAUUUUUCAUGCACAUUAAACAUUUUUGGUAUACAUGUACUCCGUAUUAAUUAUUUUAAUAUACAUUUAAUACUUUUCAACUACAUGAUUAAUAUUUUUUCAAACAUAUUUUUCAUGUCAAUUUUUUCAUACACGUCGUACAUUUUUCUUAUACACCAGGAACAUCUUUUAAAUACAUGGUUAACCUUUUCAAAUGCAGGUUUAACAUAUAUAUAUUUGAUGCCUACUUGUUUUCAUACACCUUGUACAUGUUGUUUAACACGUGUUUUUGAACAUUGUUGUUCGAAUAUGUGUUAAGCAUUUUUUUUCAAAUACAUCUUGAACAUUUUUUUCAAAUGCUACCAAUAUCUUUUAAAAGUUGCACCAACAUUUUUUAACACCUCACUUCAAACUUAAGUACUCCCUUCAUUCUCUUAUACAAGGUCAUUAUGGAAAAUACAUUUUACAUCUAUAUAAGGCCAUCAAUAGUAAUCGAGGCAAAAAGUAAUUAUAUUUUUUUGUAGUAACUUAUUUAAUACUUGCAUGCAUGUAGUCAUAAUGACACUUAGCUUUUUUCCUUCUCAUUUCUUCCCUGCAUGCAUAUGACGUAUUAAUGAUCCCGAUUAAUGAAAAAAAUUAGUUACAAACAAUCAUUAAUUUUUAUCUUGAUACCUGUAAUAUGAGUUUGUGGUCUUGUAUAAGGUAAUGAAGGGAGUAUUAUUUUUAAAAUAAAUGCAUUCUACUUUUUAAAAUAUAUAAAAUGAAAAUAAAUAAAUCGAGGACCAAACUAACGAAGCAAACGAACAAACAGUGCCGAUGGCCGGCCCAUUACUACAUCGCGUCAGACGAUGCGACAAGACAUAAUCGAUCCCUAUAAGUUGCCCUUAGGUUGAUCAUAGUAGGGGUAUCAUAACUAGUAUCAUAGUCUUGAGACUAGCAAACAUGGUGAUGUGGCAAGUAAUUAAAGAAAAGAGAGAGGGUUAGAGUAACAUAGGUAGAUACCGUAUCAUGUUAAAUGCUAUGCUACUAUGUGUCAUGCAUGUUAAUAAAUGAGAUCACCUAUAAUACUAGUUUUAUGAUACUAUGCGUUAUGAAGGUAGUAUUAUACAAUAAUAACAUAUGCAUGAUACUACUAUAUGUUACUCCCCACUAUGAGCAACCUUAGGCUGCCAAUGCACUUGUACCUAAGUGACGUGUUGAGUGUAUUAAAUGGCUUAGCCAUUAAGUAGGAUGAAAAUUUUGUGGCAUGUACUCAAAUACUCCCUCCGUUUCUAAAUAAUUCUAGUUGAAAAUAAUUGGUUUAGUUCACCCCAACUACAAUUAGUUAGGUAUAGAGAAAGUACAUAAUAUUCUGCAAGACACAGUAAAAUAAGUACAUGGAAAUGUAUUCAAUGAUUUGAAUGGAGUCUAGAAAGUAAGUACUGAACAUAUCCACAAGAACGAGGAAAUAUCGUAGAUCUUACUUUCAUUGAGGAAAUAACAUAGCUUUAGAUCAUCUCCAACAACCUUUAUAUAUUGGAUUGCUUAAAACUUGUUAUACCAAGAAGAGAGAGACACGAGCGUGCCUCUCGCGAAGGCAAAACUGUGCUUUUCGCGAAUGCAAAACCGUGCCUCUCGCAAAAAAAAAAAAACAGAAAACACGUUUUUUUCUCUCUUUCCGAGAGGCACGCCCGUGCCUCUCGUGAAGGCAAAACGGUGCCUCUCGCGGAAGUAAAACCGUGCCUUAAAAAAACAGAAACGUGUUUUUUCCGAAAAAAACAGAAAUCUUGUUUUUUCUAAAAAAUGAUUUUUUCCGUCCAAAAUUAUGAAAGAUCGAUGAAAAACUGAAACAUAAAAAAAUUCAAGAAAAAUCCACUUUAAAAAACCAAAAACACGUGUGAAAAAUUAAAAAACAAAAUAUAAAAGGAAAGUUCAGAGAGCACGACGUGUGACGACAGCUGAGAAUGCGCCAAAUGACGACACGUGAGAGUGAUCGCUGGAUACUUGCGAAGAAGUGUCGCUAACUAGUUGCUCUCAGCUCAGGGAGGGGCCUUACCCGAGCGACGACCAGGCUGAAAUGCCAACUUUGUCACUCGCCACCGGCCCACAUCCAUGCCUACUGGGCUGCCAGCAGCCAACUGUCUUCUGCCUUCGCGAACAGGCCGUGACCAGCUUUCUUGCGCGCCCCGUUUCCUCCUCCUUUCUCCCCCUUCCUCCACCCACCCCACCCCACACCCUCGCCGCCUCCAUCUUCUUCUUCCAAUCCCCCCCUUUCCGUCUAGGGUUUUGCUUCCUCCCUGACAAAAAUCGAGGCCUCAACCCCCCCGAGCGCGCCCCGCCUCGCCAUCGCCUCGCCGACCGGUCGCCGGAGAUGUCCCGCACGCUGGUGCAGCCGGUGGGGCAGAAGCGGCUGACCAACGUGGCCGUGGUGCGGCUGCGCAAGGGCGGCCAGCGGUUCGAGAUCGCCUGCUUCCCCAACAAGGUCAUCUCCUGGCGCGAGCGCGUCGAGAAGGACCUCGACGAGGUGCUCCAGUCCCACACCGUCUACUCCAACGUCUCCAAGGGCGUCCUCGCCAAGUCCAAGGACCUCAUCAGGACCUUCGGCACCGACGACCUCACCGAAAUCUGCCUCGAGGUACGCGCCACGACCGCACGCCCCCUCCUCCCCUGACCCUUGCAGUGGAUUGGAUUGGAUGGGCUGCUGAUUUCCGGCUCGAUUGCUUGUUUUUGCUGCUGCUGUUGUCAGAUUUUGGAGAAAGGGGAGCUCCAGGUUUCUGGCAAGGAGAGGGAGGCGCAGCUGUCCUCCCAGUUCCGGGACAUCGCCACCAUCGUGAUGGAGAAGACUAUCAGUACCGAGACCCGGCACCCCUUCACCAUGAAAAUGAUCGAGAGCAUCAUGCACGAGAUACACUUUGCCGUCGAUCCAAACCUUACCUCCAAGGAACAGGUAGCUGCCUGCCCUCUGCUCUGGAUAUAAUGCCCUUAGUGUAUAUUUUCUUCUUCUUUUAAUCCAAUGGAGGAUCACGAUUUGUUUAGCAUCCGUCAUUUGCAUUCAUCACCUGCAGUGCAUUUCCUUUAAAGAAAUGUUGCUUUAGGCCAAAUUAUUGUACACGUUACAAAUAGCGGACCUUCUGAUUCAUGUAUUACAGGAGUAUUGCCAAAUUGCCAUGCUAGCUUAGAAUAGUUUCCCUGAAGUGAUGAUAUCUUACUGUAAGCAAUCUAAUUAUCUGCAUUGGUCCCAAUUGGAAGAAAUUCAGUAUUGAUGUCAUGUACAAGUCCUUGCCGGGACAGCAACUUCAGUUGCAAGUACGUGCAUAUGAAUAAUCUUUCUGGAGAUAUUCACUCAUAUUCCAUACUAUAGAGGCUAUUCUGUUUGUUAUGCACCUGGCAUUGUGUAUCAGUUUUGUUGAAUCUCUCUUUCUUUUUCUUUUCAAUCGAUGGUCAUUGUUUGGGCUACCCUAGUUAACCUAUUUUUUGGUAGAGUCACUCAAUGCCUAUACCUUGCACUGACACAAUGUGAUAUAUAAAUAAAAAUACAGAAGGAAUUAGGAAUUCUUUGUGACAGUACCGAUGGUUCCUGUGUUUAUACUUUUACCUUGGUUAUUAUUACCUGCACUUUGGACAAUGUGCCAGAGGUUGUAAUAUACUAAUAUUGUUAUAGCUACAUCUGUGUAGACUUGUUAUCCACUUGUCUACUCCCGUUUCCUCUUUUCAUUCGUAUUUUCAUCGAUAUUUCAGGCACUGAGAGUUAUUAAGAAACUAAUUGAGAACCCUAAGUACAAGAUAAAGCGUGCACCAUUGACAGUGCGGUUCAUUGCACCUAAGUCCAAUCUUGCUGGCCUUAUGGAGAAGCUUGAUGGGUGGAAUGCAAUUGUUCUUUCAAAGGAUGAAUCUGCUGAUCAGUCUUCCGUUGUAAGUCUUUUGGAUUAAUUUUUCCAAGCCAUUAAUGUGUUGCCUGAUUAUGAUUUUUCUAUCAUGUGAGUUCCCCAUUGAACUUGUGUUUCCUAAGUUAUUAUAGGAUGCUGUACUCAGUCUGGUCCUCCCAAAAAUGCUAUACAGCUGGUGAAUGGUUUAUGCUAUCAUUUAGUGAGAGUUCUAUUACUGAGAAGCUUGCCCGUUGCCUCCUUUUGUACCAUUCAGUCACAAUUGUCUCAACAUUCAAGCCUACGUAGACUGCUUUGUGUCUCUCUCCUUUGUGACACUGAUGCAAUUAUUCUCCAAAAUCACGAUAUCUUCAUGUCAUGUUUCACCCUAUUAGUCAGUGUAUUAUACUUGACUCUGAAUAACAUAUUGCAGGUAUGUGAGAUUGAACCAUCUAUUCUGCACUCUUGUGAAGAGAAACUGAAGGAUGUGCAAGGGAGGGUGGAAGUACUCUCGGUGUCGGCACGCGCAGAAGGUGGCUCUUCUACAGACCAAUAUGACAAUGUGGAGGACAAUGUGGAGAAGGCACAGGCCGUUCCUGCGAAGGAGUCUGGUACUGUCACUCAGCUAAGUGAGACCAUGCAGAAACAGAGCCUUUCAAGUGAAGUGGAAAGCCAGGGUCAGGCACCAGGCAAGCCGCAGAAAAGAUGCAAAGAGUGCAGCAUAUUCAUGGAGGACAAGCUGUACAGAGACCACUGCAAAUCGGGGUGGCACAAGCACAACUACACACGCCACAAGAAUGGGCUUCCUCCGCUCAGCCAAGAGGAGUGCUUGAUGGAAAUGGAGAUGGCAGAGUCCCAGAGGGGUCUGAAGGACUAUGAUUUCUGAGGUGAGUCCUGUUUUGUCUGACACCUCCUCUCACCACGCCUCCGAGGCCGAUGAACGGCAUGUGCAAGACAUGAAGUUUGCAGUCUUGUUUCCGAGGACAUGGUCAUCAUUGGGUAAAUGCUGGUAUGAAGUGGGGAACGAGUUUUGCGAUACGCUAUGGAGUUUAUAAAAUGUAAUGGGGUUGCUGAAUGUGAACUGUGAAGGUAGUAGAACCUGGGUCAUGUGUAGUUGGCUGUGUACACUUUUGGCAGUUAUGCGGCAUGUGCUGUAACGGGAUGCUAUAUGAUGCGCCAUUGGGUAUGCGCCUGCUAUGGAUGUGAACCAACUUAACGCAACAUAUGUGUAUCGUUUCUGCAACUCGAUGUUGCUUUGACCCUGAUAUAUAAAUUCUGUGGUUGUUGUGCAUUGGCUGUUGGCCUGAUGUUGUUGAAAACAACAAGGCAGAUAUGGCUGGUAUGAGUCAGUUGGUUCUGUGCGUUGGUAAGGCAUGUAAAAGCGUGCAAGAUGAUGACAUAUCUCACUAGGUAGGAAAGAGGAUCACAUGCACUAAUCAGAAGCAAAGUAGAGAGGACGUGAAAGAGAGCAGCGAUGUAAUGUCGAACACUGAAGUCAUGUAGAAACCUCAGUCUGCCGGAUUCCCGAGCAUUGCCUUCCAGCGCUCCCCUGCGUGGCCGCGUCGUCUCCCCGAGCGAGGCGGCCGGGGGCUCCUCCCCCUGCCGCCGUCAGCGCGCUGCCGGGCCCNNNNNNNNNNNNNNNNNNNNNNNNNNNNNNNNNNNNNNNNNNNNNNNNNNNNNNNNNNNNNNNNNNNNNNNNNNNNNNNNNNNNNNNNNNNNNNUGCCCGUGUGGUGCAGGCGGCGGCGGGUCUGUCCUUCCUCCCGCGCGCGGUUCCCCUGGUCGGGCGGUGCGCUUUGGCCGGCGGCGGUGUGGCCUGUUGGAGGCAGUGCCACGGUGGCUCUCGACGCGGCGGCACGACCGUUGGUCGUGGGGUGGCACGAUGGCGCUGGCGGCCAGUGACGCCCGCCAGACCUAGAUUUGGGCCCGUUUGGGCCCCAUCUAGGUUUAGGCAGGCGGUAGCUCGGCGCUCGGUGGUUCCGCUCCAUGGUGGUGGGACGAGGCUGCGGCGGUGUUUACCUCGUCGGUCGGCGAGCUGCAGCGCGGGAUAAGGACUGUCCGGGCCUAAGUGUGGCCGACCGGGCCGUAGGGCCUGGCAAGUCCUCGUCGUCGCGUCCGGUCGGCUCCGCGUUGGUGGUGGAGGUUGUCCCCUCCCUCCGAUCGAGUUGUGGCUGCAUUUGUGGCCAUUGCAUCCUUUUCUCCUCCAGGCCUCGUGUUGGGAGCUCUAGUGAGACGACGAGGGUGGUCCGGUAAUCGUGGUGGCACAAACUGGUGGGCGGUUUAGUGGGUGGUGCGCGACAAAGUGUCUGGGAUGGUGGUGGUGGUGGUUGCGGAUCGGGAGAAAUCCCUGGCGGGUUGCCCGACAUCGACGCGGUGACGCCUGCGGGCGUCGCCGACCUUCCUGAAGGGCGUCGGGGAUACCCCUCCUCCACUACCCUUUGCGUACCGGGGGAAAUCCUAGGACUUGUUCAGGCAACAGCGGCGGCAUCGUCUCAUUCUUUCUUGGAGGUGUUGUUUAGUGCGCGACCCUUCGGACUGCUGGGACAUGGUGGUACUUCUUCGGCGGGUGCAACAUUUGUCGAUCUUCUUCUCCUUGUCAAUCUGCCGAUGUCGGCAUUUGCUUUCCUUUUCUUUCUUUUAUUUUUUAUUUGUGGCUUUUUUGUGCUGUGGCUCCAGCGAGAUGGAUAUAUCAGUUGUUUGCUUUGUAAUACGAAGCGGGAAAACCCUUUUCUCCAUGUAGAAACCUCAGUCCAUGGUCGCUGACGAUGAGAAACAGGGCGUGCUUUCCGUUCCCGGAGCAAGUGAAGAAAGGGCAGACAUCCAUCCUUGAGUUGGCUUGGUGGUUUGUGUUUGCCCCGGUGGCAAGCUAAGCACAGAUACCAAAACUAAGCGGCGAGAAAGGCAGGAGAGCAUCAGUUGCAGCGCACACUUGUCAGUAGGAUGCAAGUGGCCGGGACGUUUCCUCCCGAAAGCAAAAAGAGUUGGCUCAACAGCAGGCAGGAUCAUCGUCUCCACGCCACUACACCUCACUACAUCCACAUCUACAUACAUGGAUCAUCGAUCUGUCCUUUUUCCUCUUUCUGCCGCCGGCUUUUCCACUGCUUUCUUUCUUUCCCGUCGAUGGCCGCUCCUCCGAUCCACGCUUCCUCUUCUUCUUCUUCAGUGGCCACUGGCCUCAGCUCAGCUGCAAUAUAACAAGCGCCUCCUCCUCCUCCAGUGGCGCAGUACUGCACUAGUUAGUGGCUACCAGCGUCAGUCCGAGACUCCGAGUGUCCGACUGUCAGUGGAGUAGAGGGCAGAGGAAGCAACCGGACCGUGGAGAUCAUGGCGCGCAACUGCAGAAUCAGCGGCUUGCCGCCGCCGUCGCUGCUCUUCUUCCUGCUCCUCACGCUCUGCACCACCACGCACUGUGGUAAGCUUACUAUAACGGCAGUCAUUUAAAAAAAUAAUACGUUUUCGUUUCUUCUGCUCUGCGGUUUGAGUGGAGUGGAGUGAAAACAGUGUCGAAUCUCAGUGACCCCAGCUCUGUCCGUUAACCUGCAUUGUGCUAACUAACUCGAGCCCUCCGUGUUGGUGGAGCAGAGGCGAGAGCUCUGAGGCAGAGCAAGAAGAACGCCCUGAUGAACGUGCUCUUCAAGCUCAACUUCGCCAGGGCGGUGGAGCCGACGCAGGCGCAACCGCCCCCUCCCUCGUCGCUCGACGCCAGCGCUGGCAGCGACGCCGCGAGCGCGAGCCUCGCCGCCGUCGAAGCCCCGUUCUGCGUCAACCCUCCCGACGCUCCCCCGUCGUCGUCGUCGUCUUCCACGCCCCCCUUCACCUCCACGGCGCCGUCCUCAACCACGCCUUCCGUCCCGGACCAGCUGCCGCCGAUCACGCCCGUCCCGCCGUCAUUCGAGCCCAGCCCGCCGGCCGGCGGCGGNNNNNNNNNNNNNNNNNNNNNNNNNNNNNNNNNNNNNNNNNNNNNNNNNNNNNNNNNNNNNNNNNNNNNNNNNNNNNNNNNNNNNNNNNNNNNNNNNNNNNNNNNNNNNNNNNNNNNNNNNNCAGUCCGGGUCUGGGCACACCGGCGUCCACGCCCACGCCGAUCAACCCGCCGCAGUUCGCCCCGAGCCCGCCUGGAACUGCACCGCCCAGCCCGAUCGUCGUCGUGCCGAGCCCGCCUGACGAAUUCGGCCCAGGCUCGGGCGGCAGCGGAGGAGGAGGUGGGCAAGGAGGAGGCCUAGGAGGAGGACAAGGAGGAGGAGGAGGAAGUGGUGGUGGUGGUGGAGGAGGAGGUGGUGGUGGAGGAGAAGGAGGAGGUGGCGGAGGGGGAGGAGGAGGAGGCGGGUUCAUGCCGCCGAUCAUCUACCCGCCGCCGCUGGCCCCUCCAAUGGCGCCGGGAGCCGGGCAGGCGCUGUGGUGCGUGGCGAAGCCGACGGUGCCGGACCCGAUCCUCCAGGAGGCCAUGGACUACGCGUGCGGCUCGGGCGCCGAGUGCCGGUCCAUCCAGCCGUCCGGCGCCUGCUCCCAGCCGGACACGGUGCUCGCCCACGCCUCCUACGCCUUCAACAGCUACUGGCAGAUGACCAGGGCCACCGGCGGCACCUGCGACUUCGGCGGCACGGCCACCAUCGUCACCAGCGACCCAAGUAAGAUCUGCGUGCCAAUGCAAUACACAUGAACCAUCAUCCAUCCAUGCAUGCAUCCUCAAUUGUUCCUCAUGAUCGAUCUUGAUUUCUUACCAUGGGUUUCUAUCCGUCACGAUCUCUGCAGGCUACGACAGUUGCGCGUUCAACCUUGUAUGAGGGAUACGUACGCAUCGGCGAGCCAAAUUUCAGCUAUCAUGCAUGAGGAGCAUCUUUUCUUGGGGUCAUAUUCACGUUCCAUUUUUAUCGAGGCCACACAGCACCGCAGGUUUAGUAGGUAGCUGAGAUUAGUGUGAUUUUGAUCAUGGCAAGACUGAUACCGUGUAAAGGCGAUUCCUUGACAUGUGCAUUAUGCUAGCUUCUUGGGCAGCAGGAAGAUGCUUGAUCGUGCCCCUCUUGCAGUCUUAUAACUUUAAACCUUCUUGACCAAAUUAGUUUAAGCCAACCGCAUAUGCCUAACUUGGUGUUCACGCUAGCUAGCCCCAAGUAGUGCUAGAAAGUCGGAUUCUGUCUGCGCACAAGCUCGACGGCUCGUUCAUCAGCUCUUAAGAGGAGAUCGAACUGAGCAUAUGCAGAUGAAAAACAUGUGUGCAUCUUGUGAUGCAGAGGCCAGAGUGCUAUCCUUCUUGGAAAAAAAGAUAAAAAUAUGUGUGAAGGUUAGAAAGGGUGCAAAUACAAGAUCACGGUAAAACGGCUCCGUAAUCACAGGACAAAAUGCAGGAAGUCCAUAUGGGAGCACUGAUAAUAAAAUACAAAGAGCUAACGACUUUCAAAGAUGCAGCAGAGCCUGUCAACUGUUAGUAACUGAUAACAGAACAGGCAAGACCCGUAUAAACAGGCCUGUUCUGUUAUCAGUUGACAGGCCUGCCAUCUUCUAUAGAACAUGCGACCAGCACAAAUUUGCAUCAAGGGAGAAAGUGCGCCAACAAGUAGCAAUAUAUGCCGGGAGACUUGCAUAAGGUUUACACAGGAAACACCACAGAACACACACCAAGCUUCACAUCAACGCCAUACAAAAUCAAAUAUAGUACUCCCUCCGUCCUAAAUUACUUGUCUUAGAAUCCAAGACCGAGUAAUUUGGGACGGAUAUUGUAUUUGAUACACUUUGAUACAUGUUUUUUCUUUCAAGAGAGCAUCUCCUGAUUGGUUGAUCCAUCAGAACACGGCAAAAAAAUACACGAGACCCUUAUUUUUCUGAUUGCACGGGCACAGAUGGACUGCUGGUCUGGAGUUUUAGCGGCUCGUAGAUAACUGCAUUAACUGCGCUCACCAUUUCGUUUGGCGAGGUAAACCCAUCGGUCUGGGAGUAGAACAAGUGAACUAUCUUGCACAUCUUCCAGAACAGCUCCUUGCAAGGCCUAGGAACAACCGUGUUCUCCCUAAGAACCAGCUUCAGCAAGCCUUUUCUACAUGAGGCUAUGGCCUUCCAUAUCGUCUCUUUAGCCGUUUCAACGGACAUAGAACCACCACUGUGGAGAACAAGUAGUGAGAUAUAAUCCAGGUUCCCCUCCCUGCUCUCCCUCUGUAACAAAUAGAUCAAAAGAUUGUCAGAGUAACCAAAUUACAGGUUCCAGGUCUAAACUGGAGUACAUGACAACACUGAUGAGUAAUUACUAAUUCUCUUUAUUAUUAGUAUAAAACAACAGGAUACACUACUACUAAAUGAAUUCUAGCUUCUAAGAGAAGACAUCAGUGCGUCUUCUACCGUCGUUUGGAACUCCUAAAAAUGCCAUACAAGCAUUUAGAUGUGUGCUUUACAAGAACAAAUUCUUGACAAGAUCAUGAAUGACUGCAAAUCUUGAUGUUUCUUAGAACUUGCAGUCCUCGGUGAUUACUAUAGUGUCUCAAUCUCACAAGAUAUUUCUUUACAGUUUGUUCGGGUAACCAUGUUUAUAUUUAUAUUAAGGUGAAAGGAAUUUGCCUCUUGUGUUUAAAAUAACAUAUGUUUAUGCAGCUAUACUAAAUAUAGAAUACAUAUGGGAAUGUGACGUGCGUAGAUAUGAAGUUGAGCAUAAAAGUAACCCAAAUACCUCAAGACCUCGGAUAUCGUUGAGGAGACGACCAAUAGUGCUCGUCAGCCUAAAUAACUCGUUGUAUUCUUGAUCGUUGACAACACAUCGCGAGAGCUUUGGCCCAACAAAGUACAACGACGUGAGCACAACGGGCCCCAGUGUGAAAGAAACAAUUGCAUUUGACAUGUAUUGCUCAACUGUUGGCACAUGUUUUCUCAUCCGCCAUUCUGCCUCAGACAUCAUAGACCUCAACAGCUGUAGCCACUGCAGAUGGACUCAACAUAUCAAUGCUGAACUUUUUUUCGAGAAACAGGCAAACACAAUGGAAACUCACUAAUUCUAUCAGGUGCUUUCGAACAUCACGGUUUUGUAUUGCAGAAGCUACUGCUCCAAGCUGGUUGACUGUAGUAUAGAUAGCAGAAAACAAUAUCUUCACUUGCUCAGAGUAGAACUCAUCUUUGGAGUGCUCAUCCCACCUGACACAAGCAUUAGCAAAUCAGGGAUCAUGACUUGUUAGCAAUGCGCGAGACACCAACUACUUACAAAAUGAAGGACCGAGGGGGUUACUUCUCAACUAAUGUUAUGAGGUUUUCAUGUUCUUCUUUUGAUCCUCCAACAUCGAAGAAAUCAUCAACAACAGUGGUGAGCACACCAUUUUUGGCCCACGACAUGCGAGCAUCAGACAGUUCAGGAGGAAAUAUGGUAGCAGCAGCAGCAAGAUAACAAUAUGUCAGCUUCUGUCGUGCAAACUGUAACUGGUCCAGCCGGUUUCCUUUCGCCCAACUGUUGCCACAAUUAUUUUUAAAAUAUCUAAGAAAGAAAGUUAAUAAGGCCAGAGAGCAUAAAUGUUACAUUACCUUUCAAGAUGCAGGAGUUCAUCCUGGUAAAUAGAUUGAGAAAAAUUGAAAUCUUCAACAGCCAAAGCCAGGAAAUCUUGGUUGACAUGACAUGGCCUGAUUCACCAAAAUGUCUAGAAUUGGUGUCUAACAUCCUUAUUUAUAUGAUUUUACACACUAUUCUUUUCGAGAAAUGAGAAUCUUACAGAUGUUCUGUUUUUAGCAUCUGAGAACCACAAACAUCAAAGUGUUCAAUGUUCCUCUUGUGGCCUAUACGUUCCAUUGUGGCAUAAAAGGGAAAGUUAAGAGCAUACUCAACCUGAAAUUACAAAAAACAUAGAAACAGUAAACACCCAAUAAAAGCUAGAAUUAGUCCACUUUCUGAUAUUUAAAUUUCAUGCAAGGACCUCUUCAAAGAUUGGUGUUGUUUGCACCUGAUCGGAGAACAACUUUUCUGUCAAUAACUUUCCUGACCAGUAGCCUAUGUUAUCUAGGAUAAAUUCGUUUUCUGAUACACUGACUUUCGAGGCUUUGUACAAUUCCAAUAUAGAUUUUGUAUCAUUUAAAUAUCCGUGAAGUGAAUGAUGGAAAGUGGAUUCAUCAAUAUGAUACAGAUCAUCUGCAUUAUAUUGAAAUUAGCGAGUUAAAUUAACAAAUACACAAAAAACAGAAAGAUAACAUUUGUAUGGUUGGAAAUUCACACCCAAAGGAAGUACCCGAGGAAACAUCAUAUCCAUUCAUUCGCAAAAGACGGAAGGCCAUUGCGCAUGCUGCUACAUCUAGCAUGAUUUCCUCAUCUCUCUGUAACCAGAAACUGCAAAAUGGAUAGAAUGAAGUUUACAAGAUACGAAAGAUAGCAAAAUGGAUAGAAUGAAGUUUACAAGAUACGAAAUAUAAAUAUUAGAACUUUAUUCACAACCAUUACCUGUAUGCCAUGUCCAGGAUGCUCUUUAUCUCACUAGAAAAAUGAUGAGAUAUCCCGAUGUUUUCAAGAGAAUCUACCAAUGAAAGCUGAGAAUAUAUGUUUGUUGGAUAAACUGUUGGCACUGCAAAUGUCUAAAAAUCAUUAGUUAUUUAGCCACAGUCCAAGACCUUACAAAUUCCUGACAAAGAAAGGUAGCUGGACCCACCUGAAUUGCCAAAUUUACUGACAAGCAAAUUAAGGUACUGAAGGGCUUUAUCAUCAAAAUUGUGGAUAAGUGCAGCAGCAGUUGUGGAAGGAGAGUUGAACAACGACCCAUUCUUCCUCUGGAACUUCAUAACUUGGUUCCAGUCCAGCAGGUUUCCUAGCCCUUCAGCAGCAUAAGCCAUAUAUGCUUUUCUCCCAUCAGAUUUAUCCCCAACAAGUCUGAAUCAAGUCCAUAUGUAUAAGAUAUGGAUUUUUUAAAUAAUAAUCACAGGUAAUACAUGUCACACUCACAUUCUGGUUGCCAAUUUCAUUAAGGAAAAUACAAAUGUGAAUGACAUGUGGCCCUUUUCCCCUUGAAAUCAUGGUUCUUAGAAAAUCAUUAAAAAUAUAACUUCGUACUGAAAAAUGUUCAGCCAGUCUAAAAACCCUUUUGAGGCUUUCAGAAUCAGCUAUCCCUGAAGUGUAAACAUGAUCAGAAAGGAAAUACAACACAAUUUUCAUGCCAGAACUGUCAUAGACGAACCUUUUGAGUUCCACCUCCCGGAGGUGAAGAAUCCUAUCAAGAUCAUUUUGUCCAACCGGAAAUUCCAAACCCAUCUCAGUCCCAAGGCUAAACAUACCCGAAAAUGUGAUAUUAAAGCCUAUAGGAGCAGCAAUCUGCUCAUUCGUAACAAUGGAGAAAUUUCUUCCGAUAAAACGUAGUCCUGUCAGUACCAUUUUCAUCACAUCAAGGUCACAUUGAUUUGGUAAAACAUGAAAAUACAACAGUCAAACAACAUUAAAUGGUAGGUAAAUUCAUCUUUGUUUCAUACCUCUCCUGAUAUGCUCCCUCCCAACAUUCCACCUCUUAAGUGCCAGCACACAAGCCAAUGUGGACGAGUGGACAUCCUUGUUGACGGAGGAGUCCAUUUGGACGAGACCCCAAGAUCCAUUGCUCUGCUGGUUUUGUAGUAUCCACUCAACACACUGUGGGAAGCAUGGAACUCGAGGAGAGCUCGGCAAGGGCACCAUAGCCACCCACGCGGUGUCGUAGGAAGAUGGCAACAACUCAGGUUCCAGGAGCUGCUUCCUUAUUCUAGCCUUCCGUUCCUGAUUUUGAUGAGACAGGAGUCAUGUGACAAGACCCUCAAGCAUCUAUCUGAAACAAGGAUCGGUAGUGAUGGACAUACUACAUUACAUACCAUGUUUUGCAGGCUUGUAUUUUCUCCGGCAGAUCCCCUCUCUGCAUAUUCUGUUUCUGCAUAGGAGAUGUGUACUUCACAUAUCAUUGGCACAUCUCAAAAUUCAUCUUUUUUAUAAAAAAGAAGGCUUGAGGAAAUUGGGACAUCACUAGUGUUAUUUAUUUUUUUCUGACCAGGGACAUUACCUGUGUAAAUACCAUAGACGGUACUACUCUCACUCUCAGACAUACAAAUAUGGCGUUAAACCAGCGCUAAUUUUUUUAAGUGUAUUUUCAUACAUGUGCAGCUAACUGAGGUUAAUUAGUUGGAUGCUAAGUUGUAUAAUUAGACUUGCCUCUCUCUUCAUGGAGAACGGGAUGAAGGAAAGCUCGAGCUAUUCUUCCCCUAAAAAAUGCUCAAGCAAUCCUAGUGCCGCCACCGCUGCUGCUUCCGUGAAGCAUGCGCUUCCGGCCGCGGGUCUGAACCCAUGGUGCCGCGCUGCCGCCUCCGGACCACCGGCCGCGCGCCGCCACAAGGGCUAACCAUGGUCGUCAAUUUGAGAGGGGAGGGCGAGGGAUUGGUACCAAUUGUUGCGGGGGGAGUGGACGUCGAGGACAUUUUGACGGCGGCGGCUGCGACGAGGGUUUCGGAGGCGACGACGACGCUACCGAGGUCUACGGAGGAUAGAGUGAACCAAGAGCACCUACCCGCAACUAGCAAAUUCGGCCUCUCAAAUACUCGUAAACGCUUUCAUCGACGGAUAUUGAUAGAUCACGUUUUAAAUAAUGCAUUCUAUAGCCGGAUAUCUUAAAUUUUAUAUCUUAAAUUCAUACAGAUCAUCAUGCAACUAAUAAUACAUCAAUGCAUUAUACACAUCGUUUGGGCUCCUCCAUCACUAUUAAUAUACCAUUGGACUAUCAAAAUUUGAUAUGUUUGGCUAUGAUGGAUGUCAGUGCCCUUGCCUUUCCGAGCCUUGUUGCCCUUCUCACCGAAGUACCGAUCGAAGAUGCAGUACGGAUCGAACCGGAUCUACUCAUCAUCGGAGUUGUCCUCGCCGUCACUCACUUUCUCCUCCUCCUCCUCCUCCUCCUUCGAUGGUAGUAUGGCCAUUUCACGGACCGCCCGAUUCUGCUCGCGGGCGAGGGCACACGUGUUCCUCCGCUACCGUUUCUUCAAAAUGCGCGCGUAGAUGCGUCUUCCACAUGGGCGCGGGCUGGUCGGAGUCGGAUCCGCUGCCCUCCAUGCCGGAUAAGGCCGAAGAUCGCCGAAGGUGAGAUAGGGUGGCGGAUGGGAGUGCAGUGAAAUGGCUAGGGUUUGGUCCGGUGAACGAAUGAUGACGAAUAUAUAUGGGUCAAUGCGGGUCAGUACAGGCCAGGAGGAUAUGCCCGGGCUCUCUCAUAUCCGUCCUAUUUGGGAUGGAUAUGAGGGGUGUCGGCCAGCCCGAGCGUUUGAGGCCGGUUUGAGAGGCCCGACAUCAUGAUCUUCCAGUGAUUGGGCGGCCUGUCCGGGCAUUUGAGGAGGAUAUGAGGGGUCCGGCUGUUUGGUUCCGAGAUGCCAUAAGGGCGCAUUUGGUUGCUACCAUUUGACCCAAUUAGACCCACGCGAGACGAAAAUAAGAUGUUUUGUUGUCUGCAUCAGUCCCGCGAGCUAUUGCAUAAUCGACAAUUUCUUUGCGGCCAGGCUCAACGCGGAUACGCGUGUCACAACUCGGAGAGCGCGGGAAUGAGAUGUCUCAUAACACCCCCCCCCAAUCUCUUGUGCCACCAUCCACUCUCCUUUCACACCAUGCUUCCUCACUUUCCUUAUCGCCCGUUGCUCUCCUUUCCUCCGAUGUCUUGCCCGCCGUCCGCUCACCCCCAUCAGCGCCUACAGCAACCGCAUCCAAGAGCGAAAGGUUGUCGGCAUCACGAACUCCACGGUCGAUCUGAUGAGGGCCCUCCGCUCGUCGUCACCUUUCUGCUCCAGGACCACUUGUCCGGCCAAUGCGGGUGCCGACUACUCUAGUUUCGUGCCGUAUUCGAACCUCUUGGUCCUGGGUUUGGUUGCGUCGCCGAAGGGGGCGGAACCCGUCUGGCCGUAUUUUAACCCCCAUUUGAGGGGUUUCUCCUAGCAGCGCGACAGUCCCAUGAACGACGGCUCGCUCCUCCUCGACCGUGCCCGUGGCCACGAACACACGGGCAAUGUCGUCGGUCGUUGGCAUUGCCGACUCCUCCUCCUUCGCCCGCCAUCCUUCCCGCUGGGGUUUUCUCCCCUACCGGCGUAUGCCCCAACUCCACCCACCCCGGUAAAUUACAAAUCUCUCAUCUCCUCGUAGAUGUAGAUUAGGGUUUUCAUCAUUAGGCAUGACAAGGAAUCGAUUGGAUUUGAUUUGAUUUGUUUCCAAUCUAAUCGAUUCGAACCCAAUCGAUUCCUUCUUGUGUGUUACUAUUGUUGUUCAUAGGCAGGAUAGUACUCAUGCUUCGAUUCGAUCAGUGCGUGUUCUAGCUUAGUGUUCAUCCUUUUCAUAGGCAGGAUAUAUUGGUUCUUGCAUGAUAUGUAGGUACAAUGCGUUCAUGCUUAGUGUACAUGCUAUUCGUAGGUAGGGUUUGUGUUUGAUGUUGUCCUUGAAGGUGGAGUCUUUAGAUGCCGACGCAAGAAUGAUCGUGCAUGUUGUUCGGGACAAGAUGUUAUAGCGGCAACAUGAGGAGCUGGAGGCGGCAGAUAAGGAGGAGGAGAAGGCGGCGGAGAUAGAGGCUGCAUACACGGCGGCGAUGACACCUUGAGCGUGGAAGAGGAUCGGAUUGUCGGUCAGAUAGGAAAAAAACUCAAUUUUUUUGCAUGGACAACCGGACGGAUAUUCUUUUCUCAUCGGGCAUGUAAAAACUUAAGCAUUCUGACCUUUUUUUACAUGUGAUUGGGCAUGUGAUCUCGCACUUAGUACACCACGCUACUGCGAAGUGGUCCCUCACCGUGUCUCCCGAGCAGGCCAUAGUAGCAGCCGUGGGUGUAAAACAAGUGCUACAACUAACUUUUUAGUAGUAGUGUUGGCUAGCUACCAAGCGCUGCUACUGUAUAUACACGGGCGAGCAGGUGGACAUCUCUUAGCGGCAGCGCUGGCCCUCUGAUCCGUGGUACAACUAUGAGCUUAACAAUAGCGAUGGACCAGUUCCCGCCGCUUAGCAUCCUUAUCCUUUAUGUGGGCCGUCUGUUAUUCAUUCCCUCUUCUCACACUCUCUCACUCUCUAUUCGUCGCUUUGGCUCCUCCUCCCAUCGUCGCCGCCGUCUCCGCCUCCUCCUCCCGUCUCCGUCGUCCUCAUCUCCUCCCGUCGUCAUCGUCCUCCCCGGUCGCCUCGUCCUGCCAUCUCUGCGGUCCUCGUCAGCUCUUGUUGUCGCCAUCAUCCCCUCCUUCCUUCCACCGUUGCCGCUAUCACAUGGACUAGCCUCGCCUCGUCCGCUGUCUCGUGGCUCGUCGCAGCACACACCAUGAGCUCCUCUACCUCUCACCUCAUUAUUCUGUUCAUUAGUAUUUAUACUACAAAUUGAAUGGAUCCAAGUGGUUGUGAAAGAAAAAAAGAUUAGAUUAAAAUGGAUGGAUCCCCAAAUGACCAAGUUAAAUUAGUAGGAAAAUAUGAUGUUGGAACGACACGCAAGUGCCAAAUGAAGACAAUGCCUAUCAAGUCCAAUUUACAUUGAUUGGCAUUGCCUUCAUUGACAAUUGUGUGUCAUCAUAUGACUUGAUCAUUUACAUCCAUCCACUUUAAUGAUGAAACUAUGCUUCGUCUUUAGGUGAAAUUUAGAGUUUAGCCUAAAUAAUAAAACCAUGCUUUGUCCUUAGAUGAAAUUUCUUCGUCUUUAAGCAAAACAUAGGCCACUCGGAGUUCCCUGAAAUAAAAAGAGACAAAUGUGUUCAUCUGUAGCACCACGUACACAGCAACAGAGACACGCACUUAGGCAUUUUUUUCAAAUAGCCAUAGCACAAAGUCCAUACACAAUUACACGAUUAGCGAUCCUACCCCAUGCAUUGCCACAUCACUGUCUCCAAUGCACAUAGGUGUUUUCUUAUUAUUUUCAUUUUGGCAAUAAAUAAAUUCUUUUUUGUGAUGAUAAAAUGUGAAUUCUUUGAAAAAAGUUGUAUCAUCACAUUUAUCACAAAAUUAUAUGUAAUCAACAUUUAGCACAAAAGUAAUCCAUCAAUCCGUUCAAUAUCCAUGAUCCAUCCAUCCAUCUAACCAACAUUCAAUCAUCCAUCUGGCAACUAAUGAACAGAAUAAUGAGGUGAGAGGUAGAGGAGCUCAUGGUGCGUGGUGUGGCGAGCCACGAGAUGGCGGAUGGCGGGGCGGACGAGGCGAGGCUAGUCAAUGUGAUAGUGGCGACGGUGGGAGGAAGGCGGGGAUGACGGCGAUAACAAGAGCAGACGAGGACUGCAGAGAUGGUAGGAGGAGGCAACACGGGAGGAGGACGACGACGGAAGAGAUGAGGACGAUGAAGACGACAGGAGGAGGCGAAGACGAUGGCGAUGAUGGGAGGAGGAGCCGAAGCAACAGAGAAAGAGUGAGAAGAGGGAAUGAAUAACGGGCGGCCCACAGAAAGGAUAAGGAUCGCUUAGCAGCAGCGCGGGUCACUGGUCCAUCGCUAUUGUUAAGCUCAUAGUUGUAGCAUGGAUCAAAGGGCCAUCACUGCUGCUAAGAGAUGUCCACCUGCUGGCCCGUGUAUAUACAGUAGCAACCCUGGGUAGCCAGCCAACACUGCUACUACAAAGUUAGUUGUAGCGCUUGUUUUACACCCACAAUUGCUACUAUGGCCUGCUCGGGAGACACGGCGAGGUACCACUUCGCAGUAGCGUGGUGUACUAAGCGCCGUGCUAUUGCUAAAACGUAGGUUCAGUGCGUGCCAUAGGACCUCGUACUGCUGAGUGACAGUUGCACCGGUUUCCUACCCUGCGCCAGUACUAGUGAUAUGCCUAUAGGGUUUUUUUAGUGGUGAUCGUGUCAGGAGGGUGCCAGGAGGAUGGACGCCUGCUUGCCAGCCAGCUCGUCCGACGUCUCUGAUGACAAGGACAACACCAAGAUGGAGAUGGGCUCCGACGACACCGCACCGGCUCCCGCGCCUCCUAUGCACCGCGGCUUCACCAUGGAGCAGGCACAGUCGCACUAGAACACCGCCAUGGCGGAGGGACAACCUAUGUCGGCGUUAGAGCGGGCGAUGGAGCAGCAUCGGCUCGCGUUGGGCCAGAUCGAUGACCAACGCAUGAGCGAGGAGGACCAGUUGCACGCGAUGCAAUCCACGCUCAAGUCACCGCUCACCAGGAAGCGGAAGUCGUGGAGGCGUAGUUGUAGGUGAUCGUGGAGGAGAACAAUGCCAGUUGCGCCUCCUAUGCGACGCCGACGAAGCAUGAGGCGGCCCGGUGGAACAACGACAGCGUCGGCGCCACCAUUUUCCUCGUGGACCUCAUGUCCACCGGCGACAGACAGGGCGCGGAUUCCUUCGAGGAUGAGUACGACACGGGAGGCGGCAGGGCCUUGUGUCCCAUGUGACCGGCCCGUCUCCCGUGUUCUCCUCUUCCUUACCAGAGACUACACCUUCACUUUAUGAGUCUUAUUACCGGUGUUCAUGGUGAAGGCGGAUGGAGGACGACAUGGGCUUGGACGCUGUAAAUCGUCGCCGUUGGAUAGGUUUAGGAUCAGAUCGUAUUUUUCUUUCUAAAUGUUCGAAAUGUAAUGAAAAUUCGUGGUGUUAGUAUGAAAUCCAUUGUAUUUAUAUGAAAUUCAAUUGUGUUUGCACGAAUUUCAUCUGAUUUAUUGAAAAAUAAUUUAAAACAUAUGCGGUUAUGAUUGGAUAUAUAGUGGCCUCCUAUAUUCAUGUUUGAGGACCGGUUCCCUGACGGAUGCGAGAAUUUUUUUAGGGAAUUUAAGGGUCACACUUACACAUAUCAGUCAUCACCAUAUGCAUCUAAUAAAAACAAUCAAGCAAGCAGCCAGGCUCAAUCCUUACCGAAACAGGAAGAAGCUGCCCGAGUCCGGGGAGGAGGACGAUGACCACCGGAGAAGAGUCGGAGGCGGCGCGCUUCGCUGGAGCUGGAAUCAUUAAUCCCGGGGACGUGCUCGGCGGCGCGCGCGAGGCCGCGGCGGCGAAGAGGGCUACGUUGGCCAUGGCUGUGCGAGCAAGAAGUCCUUGACACGAAGGCAGAAGCGGCAGGGAGGAAGAGAGCGUGACUCCCCGCCUUGAACCGGCCAUGCGCCGGGAGCACGGAAGAGGGCCUAGCUGCUUUCGUGUUCGACAUGGGAAGAAUAUCACCCGAACCAGCAUAGAUCUUUGUAUAUGUAUAUUGAUGCUUACUACUAUAGGCAGCACGAGAUCGCCGUACGCGCUUCAGCGUGCCAGAUUUAGAUAGACUGUAUGUAUGCAUGUAUAUUAUAGCAUCUACAACAGGGUAUAGCAAGUAUGACACUCUAAACGGCUGUGAACGUGUCCGGCCAGCGAUCAAACGUGUUCUUUAUUUGUUCUUAUGGAGACACAAUUUUCAUUUUCUUUUUCAUAUUUCCGGUUGUGAUUAACGGAGAGAAAAAGAAAGAAAUGAAUGAAUGAAUAAAAAAAGGAUGACCCGUGAUGGGUCGCGUUCUACGUGACGGACUGAUCGGACGUGCGUGAACGCGUCCGCGAGCGUUCAUAUCCCUCCUAUAUUUGUUCUUACUACGAGGGUUUUGGGACAAUCCGGACGUAUAUAAAUGACAUGGGAUUCAGUUGUAUCACUUUUUUCACUCUUUCUCUUGUUCGAUCACUGACCGGGUGUGUCCAUAAGUGUACGAGAGGUCGUUUGAGACUUUCGGUUGUAGAUGCUCUUUUUCGAUAGAGGGUGCUUUAUUAACUUAAGAUAUAGCAUCGAGCGGAUACAAAACAGAAAAAAACCCUCGAACUCUGCAUAGCUAAGAUGCACACAGUCAUCAAACAAACAGUCUCACAAAGAUUAUAAAACGACAAAGUGGCAACCGUAAAGUCAUAUGAGACCGAAACUAUGCCUAUGUCGACGGAGAAGGUUGUAGACUGUGGCAACCGUAAAGUCAUAUGAGACCGAAACUAUGCUUUUAGAGCAUCUACAGCCGGACCCCUCAAGCCCUCCUCAAACGCUCGGACAGGCCGCCCGAUCAUAAAAAAUCGACCCAGACGGGCCUCUCAAACUGGCCUCAAACGCUCGGGCUGACUCGCACCUCCAUUUUCAGUCAAAUAUGGGGUCGAUAUGGGGGAGCCCGGACACGCCCGCGUGGCCCGCAUCUACCCCAUAAAUAUCCGUCCCCAUCCGCUCGCCGGACCAAACCCUAGCUACUUCACUCCACUCCCCUCCACUCCCGUCCGCCACCCAAGCUCACAUCUGGCAUGGCUGGCAGCAGAUCGGAGUCCUUCACCUCCAGAUCCGUCGACCAUGAGCUCAUCCCACGCGACCCCGAGGAGGAGAUGGCCGUCUGGGUUGCGUUCCGCCGCUCCCGGGAAGCGUUGGCACGACGGCAACGCUCGGGCUCGCAACACCGGAAAUCCAUUGCGUCCGCCCAAUCGGUGGUUGGAUCCGGCGUUGCUGCCUCACCAAAGGCGGUGCGAUCCAUCUGGUGUCCGAACGCCGUAGCAGAAGCGCAAUCCCUCCGUUGGCGCGCCGAGCACGAAGCAUGGCCGACCUCGGACAAUGUAAUGGCGCGCCGUGCCCGCCGGGCGAGGCAGUGGGCACGGACGUGACGGAGUCUCUCGCGGCGGCAGAUGUUGGAGAGGCGGAGUCACACUCUCCAGCACCCCGUAGGGUGCAACACUGCGGUCGACGCAACCGCGUGGUGGUGGACGUCGGCUCCUUUCAGGAAGGAUCCGUUAUCGACCUCACGUCGACUGGCAUCGUCCGAGUUACGAGCUCCGACAAGGAAGAGUAGGGCAUGUGAGAUGACAGAAGCUCGACAUGGGAAGAGUAGGAACAUUUUUUGCUGCAUCGGAUAAAAAAUGUUGCAUGAAGAUUCAACGGUGCGGACGCGUGGGGUUGAUGGAUCGUGCGGCCUGCGUGUGACCGGUCUAAAAUUUCGGCCGGCGCAGAUCACUUCCCAGUAGGAAAGCAUGGCGUGUUGUGCUUUGGACUGCAUGCACGUCGCCAUGUGAGCGUUCUCCAGCAAAUUAGGUGACGUCGUCGAUAAUGCCAUGCAUAUCGACCUCGUGACAUUGUGACAAGCCGCAUCAAAGAAACAGGGCUGGUGCGUACGGCGUACCUCCGCCGUCCAUAUGGUACGACGCGCGGGCGUCUUCUCUUGGUUACACACGCGACCAUGACCGAAUCGAGCUUAGCUAGCGACGAUGAUGCUCGUACCGGGUCCAUGAAGCAAGUAGGAGUAUUAUGUUUGGGGGUGGAACGUACAUACUGGUAGUAUAUUCGAUGUCGCUACGGGGGAGAUCCUUGAAAGGUGGGAAUUUGUUUUGUCCCGGCCGGCUCCUGUGUGGCCGGCGAUACCAAGUAGUCCAUUCGUGUGCCACUCCAAUUCUCUACUCUGAUGUAUGAGACCUAUCAGUAAGUGAGAAAUUCGCAAGGGCGCGUGCGGGGUACGCGACCACGCAGCCCCGUAUAACUUCUGUGUGGUGAUGUAGAAAUGUGUUUCGGAGAAAAUUGCCUGAAAAAUAGAUGGAAGAUUUGGAAUCCUGUUUAUACCGCGCAAUUUUUUCAAGGGAUACGUCAAGAGUGAUGUAUCGAAAUCAUAGAAGGGAGUGCCAAGCCGGCAGCCAAUUUAGCGCCGGCUGUGUAAAAUCGGCCUAGUCGCCUCUUCAACUCCUCGUUCAGCAUCAGUUUAGAUCAAAAUAAUAGUCGGCGCUGAGCCAAACCCAGCCUCCCGGAGGGCGUCUCGGAGCGCCGGUCGAAGCGAAAAGCCAAGCGGGUCCGCUCUAUUGGCGGCAGCCGGGCCUAUUCCCGUCAUUUUCUCCCCCUUCCUCCUCCUUUUUCCUUCAUUUCUCCGCCUCCUUCCGUCAUUCUUCUCCCGCUCCCGCCAUCCGGCCGCCAUGCCCCCGAAGAAGAAGUACAUCUUCCCUCGCUCCGCCACCGCUGCCAAUUCCAGCCAACGAAGCAGAGGAAGCCGAGGAAGCCGAUGCCUAGGCCGGCGGGCAUUUCGGAGGCCGAGUGGAGGGCGGAUGUCCAAGGCCGAGAGGCGGUCACAACAGACCGACAGAGGAGGCUCGACGUCAAGAAGAUCAGGGACACGGUGGCGGUCGAUCAGGAAGAGGCGUCCCGCGCGGGGAUGAUGAAUCCGCUCGGCCGCAACCCUUAGGCCGCAUGGAGGGGUCAUCAGGGUGUUGCGUCGCCAGCCAACCUCUCGCCGUCGAUGCCGCCCUCGGGGUAUGUGCUCUCGCCUGGCUACUCCGAGGGUGACGCGCAUGGAUGCUUCAAUCCCAACACCACCUUUCCGCAUGGCGCGCCGCGGCGUUCCUCUCCCACCGGCUUCGGCCACAACCCGCGUUCAACACCGGCCUCAACACCUAGUACAGCUACUCGCCGUCGGCAUACUCGUCAGCGGCCUCGUCUGCGUCGUCUUUGCGCCGUGGUGUCCUUCCAUUCGCGCCCACUUCGUCGCUGCAGUUUAACUACGUUGAUGCCGACGUGGACGAGAUCAUCACGAGCGGCUCCGUCGCUGUCGCGUCGCAUUCGGAGUUCGGCGUGCAGGAUGAAACAAUGGACACCACCGACGACAUUGAUGACGAGCUCGAUGACGCCGAGGAGGAGGCGGUGGAGGUGGAACCGGAGCCAGUGCCGAAGAAGAAGGGAUCAAAGAGAAAGCGGGCGGUGCACGCCAAGCCAGCCGAGCCACACGUCAAGUGGAUGUCAAAGGAAGGCGAGUGCCUUGCCGAAGCAUGGAAGACCGUCAGUAUCGACCCAAUCACCGACGCGAAUCAGAACACCGACACAUACUCGAGGAGAAUCAAAACGGCGUUCGACGAACGCAAGCUGGUCGACCCCGACUUCGCCAACAUCCACAUGGAUCGCGGCGAGAAGGCCAUGUCGAACCGCUGGUUGAUGAUCCAGACGGCCUGCAACAAGUGACAUGGGAUCGUCGAGGAGGUCGCUGCUCGCCCAGAAAGCGACGUCAAUGUCGAGGGUCAGGUAUGGACAAAGUUUGCCGACCCUAGCUCACCGCGUCGCCAUGUACUUUGUCAACAUGUUUUGUCCGCGGUUGUGCAGAUGAUUUGGAUGUUUGCCAUGUAUCGCGCCAACAAUGAGCACCAAGAAUUCAGGUUCCAUCACGUUUUAUCCAGGAUCGAGUCGUGCAAGAAGUGAAGGGAAGUUCUGCUCGCUCUCGACAAGGCCAAGGAGACCUACAACCCGGACGCGCCUGCCCCGGCUGCGGCAGAAGGGCACCCAAAUGGCACCAAAAAAGCGAGGGCGGCGAGGGACGCGGCACCCGCUGCCGAACGGCUGCAAGCUUCGAUCAAGCAAUGCAUCGCCGACGUCAAGAGCAGCGUUGCUAGGAGAGAGAAGAAAUUCGACGCGUGUUGGUCGGCGUUGAUGAUCAAUGUCACUUCGAAGAAGAGGAACACCGACUUGGAGUUCUUGAUGGGGGCAGACACAUCGACGAUGGACGAGAAGUUGAAGGCGUGGUACAUAGUGCAGCGCGACCUCAUCUUAAGCCAGAUGCCCGCGCCGGCAGCGACCACAACGACGACCACGACGGGCAACGCCAACGAUGACUCCCAACCCGAGCGCAGAAACCACACCGACGAUAAGCCCCACUACGUCGCCGACGGACCCGGCUAGUCCCGCGGCAGAGGAGCCACACCACGUUGAGCUGGCCGUUUGAUCCGUUUCAUCCCUAUUUUAUCCCUUCCUUUUGAUCGCCGAACUAUUUGAUGUGUUUGACCGCCAAACUAUGGCAUGCUAUUCGUUGACUUGUGGCAUGAUGAUCGCCGAACUCGUGACGUCUUUUUGACAGCGAAAAAGAAUUUUUUUUUAAAAGUUGACGUCUGGGGACCGAAACCUAAGAGCGCAGCUAGAAACUCGUUCGCCCCAAAACGAAAAUAGCGUCGGCGCAGCGCCAAAAAAGCUUUCAUCGGGGUGCGCUAGGGCCAAACGGCUGAAGAUGCUGUGAGUUAGUCCAUUUGUGGUGGUUUGAAUCCUGUAGCCGUGGGUGUGUUAUACCAACAUGUUCAUUUCGUGUAUGUGCUCUCUAUACCUUUCCGUCCUUUUCAUUGCAUUCUUUAUUAUAAAAACCGGUUCUUCUUGUCAAUAGUGAUCCAUCUAAUGUACUGUUCAUCUUCUUCCUUGGUUUACUCGUUGCGCUCUUACCUUUCAUCACCCUUCCCUUCUGCGUCAUCUGCGUGUUAUUCCUUGCAAUCCUUUCAUCUUAUUCUUUCUCAAUUCAGUUUACGUCCCUCGAAUUCUCUCCUUAUUCUUUUUCUCAAUCCAUCGCUUUGCGUUGUUCUGUCCCUAAGAGCAACUCUAAUGAGGCGACCUAUUUCGUGCGCCGUCGUCCGUUUGGAUCGGUACGAACACAAAAGGCGGCCCAACGCGUCGAUCCAAACGGACGCAUGUUCGUUUUUCAUCCGCGGGCGACCCGUUCCCGAUUCAUUUUUGAGCCGGAUUUGCGUCGGCGCGGAUACGCGACGGACCCGCCCACGCUCGUCUUCUCCUCCCCCCGGUCAUGCUGGUCGGUGGCACAUUGGCCUCCCCCCAUCCAACAUCAACCCUCGCCCGCCUCCUUCGUCGCCGAUGCCACCGCCCAUUUUUGCCGGCGACUCUGCCACCUGCCCACUCUCAGUAACGCCGCCCACAUCCGCCCGCUCUCAGCAACGCCGCCCACUCCCACGUCGUCCGCCGCCGUCGUCUUGUCGUUGGGGAGCCAACUGCUUCCCACCCCCACGCCCCCGACCAAGAAGCCGCAUCGCCGCCCGGACAGAUCCUCACCGGCGCGGCCCACUCGUUGGACGCCGGCACGGCAACUAGCUGGUCCGUGCGGGCCGCGACUCCCUUCGCCGACCGUCUUCUUCGUCGACGCCCGCAAGCUGUUCGACAGUUUGCCAAGGUAAAGGAAAAUGGACACCGCCGAUGAGUUCUUUUUCACAAUUUCCUUUGCAACUCCGAUGAUUCGUCGUCCGAUGACGAGGAGGAGAUGUUGGCUGCCGUGUUGGUCCAUCACCACCUCAACAGCCAGCGGCCAUUGUUCUGUGGCUCCAUUCCGGACCACCUUCCGGCGUUGAAUCGCAACCGAGAGAGUGGACAUUUCCUUCUUUGGAAGGACUAUUUUGGUACAGCAAACCCGUUGUUCAAACAUCAACAAUUCCACCACCGUUUCCGUAAGAGUAGGCAUGUUUUCAACUGUAUUAGAGAGGGAGUGGUCGGCUAUGAUGACUAUUUCGAGUGCAAAGCGGAUGCCGUUGGCAAGAUAGGUUUUUCCUCUUAUCAGAAAUGCACUGCCGCCAUCCGAAUGCUUACAUACGGAGUGCCCGGUGAUCUCAUUGACGAGUACGUCCGUAUGAGCGAGUCUACUUGCCUAGAGUCCUUUAUAAGUUCUACAGGGCUGUUAUUGUUGUGUUUGGUCCUGAGUACUUGAGAGAGCCGACUGCUGAAGAUACAGCCCGUUUGUUGGCGAUGGAUGCCAGCAGGGGCUUCCCAGGGAUGCUUGGUAGCAUAUACUGCAUGCACUAGGAGUGGAAAAACUGCCCUUCUGCUUGGCAAGGGCAGUAUAAGGGCCAUGUCAGGGCUUGCACUGUCAUACUAGAGUCUGUGGCAUCUGAAGAUCUCUGGAUCUGGCACUCUUUCUUUGGCAUGGCCGGAUCACACAAUGAUAUCAACGUGCUUCAGCGCUCGCCGGUGUUUGCUAGGCUUGCCGAAGGCAACAGGCCACCGGUGAACUUUACUAUCGACGGUCGCAACUACGACAAAGGAUACUACCUGUGUGACGGUAUCUAUCCUCAGUGGACCACUAUUGUCAAGACAAUACCCGACCCUGUCGGAGAGAAUAGGAAAAGAUUUUCCCAAGAGCAAGAGAGUGCUAGGAAGGAUGUCGAGUGUGCUUUUGAUGUUUUGCAAUCUCGAUGGGGCAUCGUUCGAUAUCCUGCUAAUACUUGGAGCAGGGCCGGCCCUAGCGUAUGGCCGGUGGAGUGACGGCCUAGGGACCACGCAGGAAGGGGGCCCAUAAUAUAAUAUGUAUAUGCAAUAUAACCCAUUAGAAAAUAUGCAAAAAAGUUACAAAAAAGAAGACUUAGAUGGCUAGGCCCGACCAAAAACUUCACAACAGAAACCUAUUCGAGCCCUCGACGCCUCGUCUCCGCUUCGGCGCUGGCGCGCUGCCCUACGGCGCCUCGGCCAUACCCAUACGGCGCCUCGGCCAUACCCAUACGACACCUCAGCCAUACCCAUACGGCGCCUCAGCCGGCUUGUCCUUGGCAGUCCGGCCAUCAGGCAUCAGCAGCAGGUAUUGCAGCGAGCGGCGUCUUCGUCUUGGCCCUCGAUCGAUCUAUCAUCUAAGGCCCUGUUUGGUUCAUAAGUCCUAAGACUUUUUUUAGUCCUAACUUAUAAGUUGUAAGUCCCUAAAAAGUUCCUAUCUGUUUGGUUCCUAGGACUUAACAUGGACUAAAAGACCAUAUUACAACUAUAAGUCUCUAUAAGUUCCUCCCUGUGAGUCUUAUUUCAUAAGUCACAAAUGCCUACUUUAAGUCCCUAUAAGUCCCUUCUGUUUGGUUUAGAUGGGAUUUAAAGGAAUUUAUAAGUUCUAAGUCCCUAAUAAGUCCAUGUAACCAAACACCCUCUAAGUAUCAACUGAUGAAAGCAACAACUCCUUGUAUCCAAUGCAGAAUACGUCCGAUUCAGUCUUGGCUCUCGUAUCCGAAACAACAACAGCCAUCCAUCCCAACAUCCAUCGAGCCGAUUUUCUGGUCAGUCAAAAGGAAACAUUAACGACCAAUUUUUCACCGUUGAGCAUGAACAUGAGAAUUUGAGCAGGACUAUCACGGCUUCUUUGGCUUGGAGCCUUGGACCCUGUCCAUCCAUUCAUCAAAAUUCAGUAUUAGAAGAGUAUGAACAUCGGAAUUCAACACUAGUACGUACGUACUCCAUCCAUCAUUUUUAUUUAGUAAAUAGUAAUUCAAGUACUUUUUCCAUGUAUGCCUAGGGUUUCAAUCAUUUGAUGCAUAAAUUUCUAAUUCUUUGUAUUUUCUAUUCCUCUUUUCUUCAUAAUUUUAGGAUCUGCCAUGUUGCCUAAGAAGAAGCAAUUAUCGGGUGCUGAAAAAAUAAAAAGAAAGAAAGAAAGUGAGCUGAAAAUUCAACCAUUGAAGGGUUCUUUAAAGGGCUCCCUUCUUUAAAUAGGUAGUGCGAGAGAACAACAAGGGAAAAUAAGUAAUCCCGAGCAUGUCGAUUCAGAUGUUGAGGUCAAUGAAGAUGGCCCAAAUUCAGAUGUUGAGGUCAACUCUUUGUGAUAUGGCAAAAUCUUGCAAACAUGCUAUUACAUUCUUUGGUAUUAUAUAACGAAUAUAUGUAUUGUUUCCACGUUCUACUAAAAGGUGGAAUAUUUUUCUUGAAAAUCUUCCAAAAGGAACAAAACGAACUCUCAAACCUUUGUCCAAUAAUCGUUGGGAGAGUCGAAUAAAGAAUGUGCAACCUAUUAGGUACCAAGCUAUCCAUGUAAGAUCAGCUUUGAAGGAACUGGAGGAGACUUCUACUGAUGACCCAGCAGCUGUAAGUGAUGCUCAAUCUUUGGUUAUUGCACUUGAGAAUUUUGAAAGUUUAGUUGGCAUGGUUAUUUGGCAUGAUGUUUUGUUGUCUGUAAAUAUCGUGAGCCAAAAGUUGCAGGAAAAGAUGGUAUGCAUUGAUGCUACUAUAAAACACAUUCAAGGUCUCAUAUCAUAUUUUCAGAAGUAUAGAGAUGAAGGGUUUCAAGCUAGUAUUGAGAUAGCAAAAGCCAUUGCAUCUGAUAUGGACAUAGAGCCAGAAUUUCCUACAAAACGUCAAAGGAAAAGAAAGAGGCAUUAUGAUGAAACCAAUGAUCAAGAUGAGGAAUUAAAGUUGUCAGCUAUGGAAUCCUUCAGAGUUACUUACUUACUAGUCAUUGUUGACAAGCCAAUUCUUUCAUUGACCACUCGCUUUGAUCAGCUGAAGAAAUUUGAAAAGUUAUUUGGUUUCUUAUUCAAUUCAAAAAAUCUGAAGUCCUUGGAUGAUACCAAUUUGCGGAAUUGUUGCACUACUUUUGCAAAAGCUUUUUCUGAUGAUAACUCAUGUGAUGUUGAUCUUGAUGAUUUUGUUUGUGAGUUAAAAGUGUUGCAGGCAACUUUGCCAGAUGGUUUGAUGUCAGCGCUUGAGAUUCUCCAGUUUUUUAUGGCUGUAGAUUGCUAUCCAAAUGUCUGUUGCAUAUCGGAUCCUCUUAACAGUGCCUGUGAUUAUAGCCUCAGCUGAAAGAAGUUUCUCUAAACUGAAACUACUGAAAAAUUAUUUGAGGUCUACUAUGUUACAAGAUAGAUUGGAUGGCUUGGAUAUGUGCUGCAUUGAGAAGGAUAUCUUGGACAAUGUUGAUCUUGAUUGUGCCCUUAAUGACUUUGCAUCAAGAAACGCCCGAAGAAACUUUUUCUGAAGAAUUAAAUUUUAUUAUUAUUAUUAUUGUCGAUGGAAUGAGUCAAUUAUUAUAGUUAAAUUUUAAAGUAAAAAUAUAUGAUCUUAGGACAUAGGGCCCAUGUUGUUGAGUUCGCCUAGGGCAUCCCGAAACACAGGGCCGUCCCUGACCUGGAGCACGCAGACACUGUGGGAGGUGAUGACUGCUUGUGUGAUCAUGCAUAAUAUGAUCGUAGAAAACGAGCGCCCGGAACGUGUGUACGAUCAAGGGUUUCAGUUUCAGGGUGAGAAUGUUGUGCCUGAGCAUGGAGGAGCAGCAACGUUUGAACAGUUCAUCCAAUUUCAUCAAGACAUGCGUGAUUGAGAAACUCACGUGCAACUGCAAAAUGAUUUGGUUGAGCAUAUGUGGGCUCAUGUUGGCAACCAAUAGAUUUAUCUUCUUUUAUUCGUUAGCAAAACUAUGUGAGACAUUUUUAUUUUUAUUCGUCUUGUAAUAACUAUGCUAUUUUCGGUCCAAAUUAUGUUAUUUGAUUCAAACUAUGAAAAUCAUGCAAAAUAGGGCGGCCAGCCGGCCACGACGAUACAUAUGGGUCGGCGCGUUGGGCGUGCUGCCGACCCAUAUCUAAAACAGGGCGGACGCCGGGCGGGCAGCCGACCAAAACAGACAAAAAGCGGGUGAAAUCGCUGUCCGUUUGGGUCGACCCGUUGGAGUUGCUCUAAUACAUGUCUGUGUUAACUCCAAGCUUAUGAUCAACAUCCUUCUUCCCAUUGCAACACAUAAGCCAUUUUGCACAUGUUCCUUCAUUAAUGUAUACUUUUUUUUUCUUACAGACAAAUAUCGUUAUGAUCUCAUUCUUCCAGCUACAUUUGUUUCUUUGCCAUUUAAUUUUUCCCUCAACGCCAACCUUGUAGGUCUUGUUUUCUCAAAUUUCAUUCAACAAAACAUGUGUUUUCUUUCUUUCCAACUUAUGCUUGUCUUUGAAGUUAUGUAUAUGUCAGAAACUUGUGUCAUACAAACAUAUGUACAUAUCAAGUUUUGUUCUUUCAAAGUUACCACGUGAGAAGAGUCUUCGCGAGUUUCGUUGUUUGCUACUUAAAUUGCUAUUUACCUUUUUUUCUACGCCCAUCACACACGUCAUUUCUUCAAGGGUUACGUGGCAUUUACUUCUGUAAUGACAAGUCCACUUGCCUCGCGCACGAACUUAUUUGUCUCGACUCUUUUUUGCUCAGGGUCUUUGUUGCCACUCAUCUCAGAUUCGAUCUCUUCAAACUCAUACAGAACGAUGAUGCCCUAGUCCACGCAUAUGUGGGCCUGCAAUGAUCAUCACCCACCGCACCUACUGUGUAUCUAUGUCUAUUGUUGCCAUCCCCACUCGUCCUAGGCGAGAGAACCCCAAUGGAGCUUAACGCGCACAGGAUGAAGUCGAGGUAAAUUUCUAUGUAUCCCGUUUAAUCUCGUUCAAAUGAGUGUCCAAUGGUUAUUUUCUCUUGAAUGGACAAUUUGUAUGUGGAGUGCCUAGUCAAUUAUGACGUCAGAGGGUUGUGCAUGCUUUGGAGAACAACAUCUUAUGCCUCAUCCUUCUAGAAUAUUGUAGAGAAAUGACAAUAACCUUGAACUAAUUCUCCAGUUCUUAAUCAUUAGAUGCAUGCUUUGUUAGUUAGUUGAGGAUGAUCCCUUACUAGUUAUGUGGUCACUUAUGUACUAAAAAGGGUGUGAAUACAACUUAUGCAAACUGCACUUCAUAUCGAACAUACAUGCAACUACAUUUCAUGAUUUGUUCACGCAAUAUAUUACUCCGUAAAGCAUUGUACAAUUCAAAAUAUGCUAAAUAUAACCUUUUACAAUUUUAAUUAAUUUUUAUAUAUACACAUUUCAUACAGAUAUCACUGCACUUAUCUUGCAUAUAUGUUGUCAUUAUCCACCCACAUACGACACCCCAUACUAUAUAUAUGUGUGUUUUUGCAUUAGUAUCUAACGCUACAUAGAACGCGUUGCUUAUGCAAAUUACAUAAUGAGAUGUACCAAUUUAUAAUUCUGAAAAUUUGCAACAUAAUGCUUUCGUACAUUUGAAACUUCUAUAGAUUCGAUCGAAAUCUCACUAAUACAAUUCUAUACAUGCUAUGAAGACAAUGUUGGAAAUAUGCCCGAGAGGCAAUAAUAAAUUAGUUAUUAUCAUAUUUCUUUGUUCAUGAUAAUCGUUUAUUAUCCAUGCUAUAAUUGUAUUGAUUGGAAACUCAGAUACAUGUGUGGAUACAUAGACAAACACAGUGUCCCUAGUAAGCUUCUAGUAGACUAGCUCGUUGAUCAAAGAUGGCUAAGGUUUCCUAGCCAUACACAUGAGUUGUCAUUCGAUAACGGGAUCACAUCAUUAGGAGAAUGAUGUGAUGGACAAGGUCCAAUCGUAAGCAUAGCAUAUGAUCCUGUGAGUUUAUUGCUACUGCUUUAUUCAUGUCAAGUAUCUAUUCAUACGACCAUGAGAUCAUGCAACUCACUGACACCGGAGGAAUGCCUUGUGUGUAUCGAACGUCACAACGUAACUGGGUGACUAAAGGUGUUCUACAGGUAUCUCCGAGGGUGUCUGUUGUGUUGGCAUGGAUCAAAACUAGGAUUUGUCGCUCCAUAUAACAAAGAGGUAUAUCUAGGCCCACACGGUAAUACAACAUCACAAGAAUCUUGCAUCCAAUGUGACUAAGAAGUUAGUCACGUGAUCUUGUAUUAUGGAACGAUUAAAGAGACUUUCCGGUAAUGAGAUUGAACUAGGUAUGGAGACACCAACGAUCGAAUCUCGGGGAAGUAACAUACUGAUGGACAAAGGGAAUUGCAUACGUGAUUGAUUGAAUCCAUGACAUCGUGGUUCAAUCGAUAAAGAUCUUCGUAGAAUAUGUAGGAAACAAUAUGGGCAUCUAGCUCCCGCUAUUGGUUAUUGAUUGGAGAGUGUCUCUGUCAUGUCUGCAUAGUUCUCGAACCACAGGGUCUGCACACUUAUGGUUCAAUGAAGAUUUGGUGUUAAUGAUUUAUGUAUGAUGGAGACCGAAAGUUGUUGUCUCGGAUGAGAUCCCGGACAUCAGGAGGAGUUCCGGAAUGGCCCAGAGACAAAGAUUGAUAUAUGAGAAAGAGGUAUUCGGGUUUCGGAAAGGUUCCAGGUGUUCUAGGUAUUAUAUCGGGAGUGCCGAAAGGGUUCCGCGGGUCCACCGGGAGAGGCCCACCCAUCCAGGGGCACAUGGGGUGAAGAGGUGGCGCACCAGCCCCUGGUGGGCUAGGCAACCGACCCUAAGGGCCCAUGCGCCCCAAUGGUGGUAGGUGGGAGGAGUCCUACAGGAGAGAGGCUCGUCCCUAGGGUGCGCCCCACCUCCCUUGUAGAAGGUGGACACCUCCUUGGCCACCGACCCUGGGGGAAACCCUAGGGCACCACCCCUCCUCCCUUCCCCCUAUAUAUAGUGGAGAGGAGAGAGGGCAGCCGCACCAUAAGCCACGGCGCAGCCUCUCCCUCUCCCUCGAGAUUAGUUUCUCCUCUAGAUCAUCGCGGUAGCGCUUGGCGAAGCCCUACCGGGGCAGCCCCACCACCACCACUGCCACGCCAUCAUGCUGCGAGAGAACUCAUCUACCUCUCCGCCCUUGCUUGCUGGAUCAAGGAGGCGGAGACGUCAUCGGGUUGUACAUGUGCUGAACGCGGAGGUGCCGUCCGUUCAGUGCUAGAUCGGGACAGAUCGUGGUAGGAUCGCUGGACGGAUCGUGAUUUGAUCGCAAAGACGUUCAACUAUAUCAACCGCGUUAUAUACGCUUCCGCUUAGCGAUCUACAAGGGUAGGUAGAUGCAAUAUCUCCUCUCGUAGAUGUUCAACUCCUAUAUUGAUCUUGGUGAGCGUGGGAAAUUUCUUUGUUUCCCAUGCAACAUUCCCCAACAGUGUCAUCAUGAGCAAGGUCUAUGCGUAGAUAACAUGCACGAGUAGAACACAAAAGAGUUUGUGGGCAUUGAUGUUCAAAUUGCUCACUUCCAUAGUCUUCUUUUGAUUCAGCGGUAUUCCGGGAUGAAGCGUCCCGGAGCAACCUUACUCGUCCACGUAUGAGAGAACGGUUCCAUCGACUAACAUGCAACUUGUUGCAUAAAGAUGGUUGGCGGGUGUCUGUCUCUCUCACUUUAAUUGAAUCAGCUUCGACACACGGGGUACUUGUAGAAGGUUAAAUAGCAACUUCAAUAUCAUCCUGGUGGCUUUGCGUAGGUAAGAACGGUUCUUGCUAGUUACCCAUAGCAGCCACGUCAAACAUGCAACAAAAAGUAGAGGACGUCUAACUUGUUUUUGGAGGGUAUGUUGUGAUAUGAUAUGGCCAAUGACAUGAUGUGAUAUAUGUGAUGUAUGAGAUGAUCAUGUUUUGUAUAGAAUUAUCAUGACUUGAUGUCGAUGAGUACGGCAACCGACAGGAGCCAUAGGGUUGUCUUUAAUUAUUUAUACCUUUUGCUUUACUUGAUUGCUAUGAGCUAUCAAUGGUGGUAGAAGCAUAGUUGGCGCGACAAACUCAAUGGCGACACGAUGAUGGAGAUCAUGGUGUCAUGCCGGUAAUGAUGGAUUUCAUGUCGGUGCUUUGGAUAUGGAGAUCAAAAGCACAAGAUGACGAUGGCCAUAUCAUGUCACUAUUAUGAUUUGCAUGUGAUGUUAAUCCUUUUAUGCAUCUUCUUUUUAUUAGGACAACGGUACCAUUAUAAAAUGAUCCCUCACUAAUGUUUCAAGAUUAAAUUGUGUUCUCCCCAAGUGUGCACUGUUGCGAAGGUUCGUCGUUUCGAGGCACCACGUGAUGAUCGGGUGCGAUAGACUCUACGUUCGCAUACAACAAGUGUAAGCCAGUUUUGCACAUGCAUAACACUUGGGUUAAAAUUGACAAGCCUAGCAUGUACACACAUGGCCUCGGAACAUAGGAGACCGAAAGGACGAGCGUGAGUCACAUAGUAGAUAUGAUCAACAUGGGGAUGUUCGCCAUUGAAACCACCUCAUCUCACAUGAUGAUCGAACUUGGGUUGGUGGAUUUGGAUCAUGUCACACUCGAACAACCAGAGGGAUGUUGAUUUGAGUGGGAGUUCUUAAGUAAUAUGAUUAAUUGAACGCAUUAUCAUGAACAUAGUCUAAGUUGUCUUUGCAAAGUAUGUUGUAGAACAAUAGCUCGCGUUCUAGCUCCCCUAUAUUUUUGACAUGUUUCUAGAGAAAACUAAGUUGAAAGAUGAUAGUAGCAAUUAUACGGACUGGUUCCAUAAACUAAGGAUUGUCCUCAUUGCUGCACGGAAGGCUUAUGUCCUUGAUGCACCACUCGGUGUGCCGCCCCUUGCUGCCUCUUGAGCUUGCCUUUGUUUUUCCCUUGAAGAGGAAAGGGUGAUGCAGCACAGGAGCAGUAAGUAUUUCUUUCAGUUUGAGAACCAAGGUAUUAAUCCAGUAGGAGAAUCAAGCCAAGUGUCCAGAGUACCUGCGCAAACACAAACGAGCUUGCACCCAACGCUAUAAAGGGGUUGUCAAUCCCUUCAAGAUUGAUUGCAAAGUGAGAUCUCAAGGCGGAAAGUGCAACGAAGUAAAAGUGAAAGGCUGAAAAUAUGGUGNNNNNNNNNNGGCCAUAGUGUUCACUAUAGGCUUCUCUCAAAAUAGCAAAUAUUAUGGUGGGUGAACAAAUUACUGCUACUUCGACAACAGACCUUCCCUGGUACUGCGCAAGAAUCCUGCUGCUAUGGCUACGCCUUUAGGGAGUUCCUUGGCAAAUAUGCAAAGGAUUUCCCCGCGGCCUUGGAGCCUUGCAUUGGUGUUCCCUUGAAGAGGAAAGGGUGAUGUAGCACAGCGGCGGUAAGUAUUUCCCUCAGUUUUGAGAACCAAGGUAUCGAACCAAUGGAAGAUCUCGUCAAGUCACAAGUACCUGCACAAACACAAAGAGCUUGCACCCAACGCUAGGAAGGGGUUGUCAAUCCCUUAUAGAUUGUUUGCAAAGUGAGAACUGAAAGCAACAAAGAGUAAACAGAGCAAAGUAAAAGUGAAACUGGAAACAAUAGGUGUGAAUAGACCCGGGGCUGUAGUGUUCACUAGUGUCUUCUCUCAUGAAAGCAAGUAGACGGUGGGUGAACGAAUUACUGUCGAGCAAUUGAUAGAACCGCGCAAAGUCGUGACGUUAUCUAAGGCAGUGAUUAUAUCUAUAGGCAUCACGUCCAAAACAAGUAGACCCAUACUUUCUGCAUCUACUACUAUUACUCCACACGUCGACCGCUAUCCAGCAUGCAUCUAGUGUAUUAAGUCCAAAAGAACAUAGUAACGCCUUAAGCAAGAUGACAUGAUGUAGAUGGACAAUCUCAUAUCUACGAUAAAAGCCCAUCUUGUUACCCUUGAUGGCAACAACAUGAUGCGUGCCUUGUUGCCCCUUCUGUCACUAGGAAAGGUCACCACACGGUAUGAACCCAAAACCAAGCACUUCUCCCAUUGCAAGAAUCAUAGAUCUAGUUGGCCAAACAAAACCCAAGACUCGGAGAGACUUACAAGGAGAUCAAAUCAUGCAUAUAAGAAAUCAGCAAAGACUCAAAUAUAAUUCACAGAUAAUCUAAUCACAAAUCCACAAUUCAUCGGAUCUCGACAAAUACACCGCCAAAGAGGAUUACAUCGGAUAGAUAUCCAUGAAGACCAUGGAGAACUUUGUAUUGAAGAUCCAAGAGAGAGAAGAAUCCAUCUAGCUACUAACUACGGACCCGUAGGUCUGAAGUAGACUACUCACGAGUCAUUGGAGGGGCGAUGAUGUUGAUGUAGAAGCCCUCCAACUCCAAAGUCCCCUCCGGCAGGGCACCGUGAAGGGUCUCCAGAUGAGAUAUCGCGGAAACGGAAGCUUGUGGCGGAGGAAAAGUGUUUUCGUCAAUGCCCUGAUUUUUUUUCUGGAUUUUAGGGAAUAUAUAGGCGAAAGAGCUAGGUCAGGGGGCGCCAGGGAGGCCACAAACCUGGUAGCCGCCGCCCCCUGGUGGCGUCUACCGGGCUUGUGGGCCCCCUGUGGCUCUCCUUCCUUGGCCCUCAAGUCCCCUGAUCUUCUUCCGUUCUGGAAAAUUUUAUUUCGGGGAUUUUAUUCCGUUUGGACUCCGUUCCAAAAUCAGAUAUGAAAAGAGUCAAAAACACAGAAAAAACAGGAACUGGCACUUGGCACAGAAUUAAUAAGUUAGUCCCAAAAAAGAUAUAAAAGGUAAACAAAACAUCCAAAGUUGACAAGAUAACAACAUGUAACCAUCAAAAAUUAUAGAUACGUUUGAGACGUAUCAAUUACUGUCGAGCAAUUGAUAGAACCGCGCAAAGUCAUAACGAUAUCUAAGGCAAUGAUCAUACAUAUAGGCACCACGACCGAGACAAGUAGACCGAUACUUUCUGCAUCUACUACUAUUACUCCACNNNNNNNNNNCGACCGCUAUCCAGCAUGCAUCUAGUGUAUUGAGUUCAUGACGAACAUAGUAAAGUCUUAAGCAAGAUGACAUGAUGUAGAGGGAUAAACUCAAACCAAUGAUGUAAACCCCAUCUUUUUACCCUUGAUGGCAACAACACGAUGCGUGCCAUGCUACCCCUUCUGUCACUGGGUGAGGUCACCGCACGGUAUGAACCCAAAACCAAGCACUUCUCCCAUUGCAAGAAUCAUAGAUCAAGUUGGCCAAACAAAACCCACAACUCGAAGAGAAUACAAGGAUAUGAAAUCAUGCAUAUAAGAGAUCAUAAGAAACUCAAAUAAGAUUCAUAGAUAAUCUGAUCAUAAAUCCACAAUUCAUUGGAUCUCGACAAACACACCGCAAAAUAAGAUUACAUCGGAUAGAUCUCCAUGAAGAUCAUGGAGAACUUUGUAUUGAAGAUCCAAGAGAGAGAAGAAGCCAUCUAGCUACUAGCUAUGGACCCGAAGGUCUAUGGUGAACUACUCACGCAUCAUCGGAGAGGUCAUGGUGUUGAUGAAGAAGCCCUCUGUAUCCGAAUCCCCCAUCCGGCAGGGCACCAGAACGUGCCCCAUAUGGGAUCUGCCGGAGACAGAAGCUUGCGGCGGCGGAAAAGUAUUUUCGUGGAUCUCUCGCGCAGUUUUGGAUUUUUUAGGAAUUUAUAGGCGGAAGAGGUAGGGCAGACGAGCCACAGGGGGCCCACAAGCCUGCUAGGCACGGCCCCCCUGGCCGUGCCUAGGGAGCCCACAAGCCUGCUAGGCACGGCCCCCCUGGCCGUGCCUAGGGGGCUUGUGGAGUCCCCUGGUGGCUUCUGCCUUGGUUCUCACGUCCCGUGCGUAUCUUCUGUUCCGGAAAAAAUCUUUUCGGAAGUUUUAUUCCGUUUGGACACCGUUUAAAAUCCUCCUCUGAAAAGGGUCAAAAAACACGGAAAAAACAGGAACUGGCACUUGGCACUAAGUUAAUAAGUUAGUCCCAAAAAAGAUAUAAAAGGCAUACAAAACAUCCAAAGUUUGACAAGAUAAUAGCAUGGAACCAUCUAAAAUUAUAGAUACGUUGGAGAUGUAUCAAGCAUCCCCAAGCUUAACUCUUGCUCGUCCUCGAGUAGGAAAGUGAUAAAGACUGAAUUUUUGAUGUGGAAUGCUACCUAGCAUAGUUGUCCUUUGUAACUUCUUUCAUGUGACAUGAAUGUUCAGAUCCGUAAGAUUAAAACAAUAGUUUGUUGUUGACAUGAAAACAAUAAUACUUCAAGCAAACUAGCAAGGUAAUCAUGAACUUUCGAAAUAACAAGGCCAAAGAAAGUUAUCCCUACAAAAUCAUAUAGUCUGGCUAUGCUCCAUCAUCCCCACACAACUAAUUUAAAUCAUGCACAACCCCGGUAUUGGCCAAGUAAUUGUUUUCACACUCUUACUUUCUCAAACCUUUUUCAACUCUCACGCAAUACAUGAGCGUGAGCCAUGGAUAUAGCACUAUGGUGGAAUAGAGUGUGGUGGAGGUUGUGAGACAAAAAGCAGGAGAUGGUCACAUUGACUCGGCGUAUCAAAGGACUAUGGAGAUUCCCUUUAAUAGACAUCAAUGUGAAUGAGUAGGGAUUGCCAUACAAAGGAUGCACUAGAGAUAAGUAUGUGAAAGGUCAAAAGGAGAACUAGUGGGUGUGCAUCCAACUUGCUUGCUCACGAAGACCUAGGGCAAUUUUUGAGGAAGCCCAUCAUUGGAAUAUACAAGCCAAGUUAUAUAAUGAAGAUUCCCACUAGCAUAUGGUGGUGACAAAACAAGAGGCUCUCAAUCAUGAAGAACAUGGUGCUAAUAUGAAGCACAAGUGUGGAAAGAGAUAGUAGCAUUGUCCCUUCUCUCUUUUUCUCUUUUUUUGUUUGGGCUCUUUGGCCUCUUUUUUUUUAUUUUUUUAUGUGGGCAACUUUGGCCUUUUUUUUUAUUUCCUCACAUGGGACAAUGCUCUAAUAGUGAUGAUCAUCACACUUUUAUUUACUCACAGCUCAAAGCUUAGAACGAUGAUGACUCUAUAGGAAAUGCCUCCGGCAGUGUACCGGGAUGUGCAUAGCUUGGCGUAUGACGUUGAAACAUCUCGCUAGCUAUCUUACGAUCAUGCAAUGGCAAUAUGAGAGUGACGGCACAAGUCAUGAGACGGGACGGUGGGAGUUGCAUGGCAAUAUAUCUCGGAAUGGCUUUGAAAAUGCCAUAGUAGGUAGGUAUGGUGGAUGUUUUGAGGAAGGCAUAUGGUUGAUUUGUGCACGAAAAUUGCGCGGUACUAGAGAGGCUAGCAAUGGUGGAAGGUGAAAGUGCAUCUAUACCAUGGACUCACAUUAGUCAUGAAGAACUCACAUACUUAUUGCGAAUGUUUUUAUUAGUAAUCGAAACAAAGUGCUAAACGCAUACUCCUAGGGGAAGGGUUGGUAGGUGUAAACCAUCACGCGAUCCCGACCGCAACACAAAGGAGGACAAUCAAUAGAUCAAUUAUGCUCCGACUUCCUAACAUAGCGGUUCACCAUACGUGCAUGUUACGGGAAUCACUAACUUCAACACAAGUAUUUCUAGAUUCACAACACCCUACUAACAUAACUCUUAAUAUUACCAAAUCCACGUCUCAAAACUAAUUGAGAGGAAUCAAACUUCUCUUUCUACUCAAUGCACAUGAAGAUGGAAGUUUUAUUGUAUCCUCUUUGGAUACCUAUCACCUUUGGGACUACUUUCAUAGCACAAGCCAACUACCAAGUUACGCACCACCAUGCUCUAAAAGAUCCAAGUGAAGCACAUAGAGCAACAUGGUCUAGCUCAAAAGAUAUAAGUGAAGCACAAUGAGUUCUAGGAAAUUCACGAUGAGUGCGUGUCUCUCUCAAAAGGUGUGCAGAAAGGAUGAUUGUGACACAACAAAAAGAAAAGACUCCUACGAUACAAGGCGCUCCAAGAAAAACACAUAUCACGUGGUGAAUAAAAAUAUAGCUCCAGGUAAUGUUACCGAUGGAUUGAAGACGAAAGAGGGGAUGCCUUCCCGUGGCAUCCCCAAGCUUAGGCUUUUUGGUGUCCUUGAAUUUGGCUUGGGAUUCCCUGGGCAUCCCCAAGCUUGAGCUCUUUCCACUCUUUAUCCCUUUGUCCAUGAGAACAUCACCCAAAACUUGAAAACUUCACAACAAAAAACUUAAACAGAAACUCGUGAUAUCAUUAGCACAAGAAAACAAACUACCACCUCUUUAGGUAUUGUAUCAAUAUUGAUUUCUAUUUAUAUUGGUGUUAGCUUACUGUAUUCUCACUUUUCCAUGGCUAGUACCCCCGGAUACUAUCCAUAGUUUCAUCAAAACAAGCAACCAUCACAACAAAAACAGAAUCUCUCAAAAACAGACCAAUCUGUAGCAAUCUGUAUACUUCGUAUACUUCUGGUACCUAAAAAAUUCUGAACAAUUACGAAAGCCUGGUAAAAAGCAUAUCAACCAGCAGGAAAAAGAAUCAACUCAAAAGCUCUUUCUGAGUAAAAAUGGAAAAUAAUUUCGUGAGCGAAAAGUUUAUGUCUUUUUCCAGUAGGAUCAAACAACCAACACCAAACUAGUCAUAAAGGUUCUGCUUGGCUCAAACACAAAAAGAAACACAAAAAACACAAUAAUAAUAGAAUUAUGAUGGUGUUGACGCAACAAAACAGAAAGAAAAAUAUAAAUUCAUUGGGUUGCCUCCCAACAAGCGCUAUUGUUUAACGCCCUUAGCUAGGCAUAAGGUGAUGGAAUCACGUAUCGUCGUCUUUGGUGCUCAAACCAUAAGUAGGGUGAUCACUCAUCAUCUUAAGGUCUUAAUCUUUCUUACUAGAUGGUUCACCACUAUUUUUAGGAACAAAAAAAACUUGGUGGCCUUAUUGUGGGCAAAAUUUGGAGUGUUCUGCACAACGGCAAAAGCGGAACCCAAGUUGGUUAUAACAUCCUAGUUUGCCAAUCCUAGCGGAAUCAUGACCUAGUUUUUUUGUUAACUAUGGGUUCCUUAUCCUUUAAAUUUUUCAAAGCCAUUCCCACCUUGGAUCCAUACUGAGUGAUUUGAUUGUGGAUCUUUUUAUCCAAAUUCUCAAUGAGUUCGAUCGUAGCAACUUUAUUUUCAAUGAUAUCCAGCCUACGCAUCACAUGUUCCAGAGUUAAGGUAGUUCGAUUAACCAUGAGUGGGGGUGAGCCUACGAAAUUUAUUAAAGCUCCGUAAGAAUCAAUGGUAUGGCUACCCAAGAAAUUUCCAGCUAAGAUGGUGUCAAGAAUAUACCUAUUCCAAGGGGAAAUACCCACAUAAAAGCUGCGACGCAGGUCGGUAGUAGAUUGCAUACGAGUAGAUCUACUCUGAGCAUUGCAAAUCCUAUACCAAGCAUCCUUUAAGUUUUCUUCCUCAUUUUGUUUGAAAUUGAGAACUUCGUUCUCGGGAGUAUCGUUCGAAGCGGUGGGUCUAGCCAUGAGGACAGGUAGACUAUCCCACACAAGCGAACAGAAAGCAAGCGAGGGAAAAGGGUGAACGAAAAAGACAAAUGAAAAAGGCAAAUAUUUUUGUAAAUUUUUAUUUUUCAGAAGUGGGGGAGAGGAAAACGAGAGGCAAAAAAUUAAAUGCAAGAGAUGAGUUUGCGACACUUACUUGGAUGAGCUUCACCAAGAACUUGAUCCUCCCCGGCAACGGCGCCAGAAAUCUUUUUGCUGCCUCUUGAGCUUGCGUUGGUUUUUCCCUUGAAGAGGAAAGGGUGAUGCAGCACAGGAGCAGUAAGUAUUUCCCUCAGUUUGAGAACCAAGGUAUAAAUCCAGUUGGAGAAUCAAGCCAAGUGUCCAGAGUACCUGCGCAAACACAAUCGACCUUGCACCCAACGCUAUAAAGGGGUUAUCAAUCCCUUCAAGAUUGAUUUCAAAGUGAUAUCUGAAGGCGGAAAGUGCAACGAAGUAAAAGUGAAAGGCUGAAAAUAUGGUGUGAAGUAGACCUGGGCGCCAUAGUGUUCACUAGAGGCUUCUCUCAAAAUAGCAAAUAUUACGGUGGGUGAACAAAUUACUGUCGAGCAAUUGAUAGAACCGCGCAAAGUCAUGACGAUAUCUAAGGCAAUAAUCAUACAUAUAGGCAUCACGUCCGAGACAAGUAGACCGAUACUUUCUGCAUCUACUACUAUUACUCCACACAUUGACCGCUAUCCAGCAUGCAUCUAGUGUAUUGAGUUCAUGACUAGUGUAUUACUCCACACUCCGAUUGGGCUGAAAUUUUAACAUAUUGAGCAUGCAUCUAGUGUAUUACUCCACACUCCAAUUUAGUUGAAAUUUUAACACGAUUUUCUUCCGGAUAUUAUCUUUCUUGCGGCGAAAGUAGGGCCCCAACCUCCUUAGGGAUUGGUCACAAGCCUGCAGGCCGUGGCCUAGGGGGGGCGCGCCUCGUGGGCUUGUGACCUCCUCGGGCAUCGUUUCGCGUAGAUUCUUCUUCCCAAAAAUCAUAAAUAUUCCAAAAAAAUCCCCAUAGGUUUUUUUAUUGCGUUUGGACUUCGUUUGGUAUGGAUAAUCUGCGAAACANNNNNNNNNNNNNNNNNNNNNNNNNNNNNNNNNNNNNNNNNNNNNNNNNNNNNNNNNNNNNNNNNNNNNNNNNNNNNNNNNNNNNNNNNNNNNNNNNNNNNNNNNNNNNNNNNNNNNNNNNNNNNNNNNNNNNNNNNNNNNNNNNNNNNNNNNNNNNNNNNNNNNNNNNNNNNNNNNNNNNNNNNNNNNNNNNNNNNNNNNNNNNNNNNNNNNNNNNNNUUAUAGAUACGACGGAGACGUAUCAGCAUCCCCAAGCUUAAUUCCUGCUCGUUCUCGAGUAGGUAAAUGAUAAAAAAGAUAAUUUUUUAUGUGGAAUGCUACCUAGCAUAAUCUUGAUCAUAUAAUCGAAUCAUGACAUGGAGACUAAAACACGAGUGAUUCGAAGCAAUAGUCUAUCAUUUGACAUAAAGACAAUAAUAUUUCAAGCAUACUAACAAAGCAAUCAUGUCUUCUCAAAAUAUCAUGGCCAAAGAAAGUUAUCCCUACAAAAUCAUAUAGUCUGGCUAUGCUCCAUCUUCCCCACACAACGUAUUUAAAUCAUGCACAACCCCGGUUUUAGCCAAGCAAUUGAUUCAUACUUUAGCGUUCUCAAACUUUUUCAACUUUCACGCAAUACAUGAGCGUGAGACAUGGACAUAGCACUAUAGGUGGAAUAGAAUAUGGUGGUUGUGGAGAAGACAAAAAGGAGGAGAUAGUCUCACAUCAACUAGGCGUACCAACGGGCUAUGGAGAUGCCCAUCCAUAGAUAUCAAUGUGAGUGAGUAGGGAUUGCCAUGCAACAGAUGCACAAGAGCUAUAAGUGUAUGAAAGCUCAAAAAGAAACUAGUGGAUGUGCAUCCAACUCGCUUGCUCACAAAGACCUAGGGCAAUUUGAGGAAGCCCAUCAUUAGAAUAUACAAGCCAAGUUCUAUAAUGAAAAUUUCCCACUAGUAUAUGAAAGUGGCAACAUAGGAGACUCUCUAUCAUGAAGAUCAUGGUGCUACUUUGAAGCACAAGUGUGGUAAAGGAUAGUAGCAUUGUCCCUUCUCUCUUUUUCUCUCAUUUUUUUGUUUUGGGCUCUUUGGCCUUUUUUUAUUUGGGCUUCAUUGGCCUCUUUUAUUACCUCCUCACAUGGGACAAUGCUCUAAUAAUGAUGAUCAUCACACUUUAAUUUACUUACAACUCGAUAUUUAGAACAAAAUAUGAUUCUAUAUGAAUGCCUCCGGCGGUGUACCGGGAUGUGCAAUGAUCUAGCGUAGCAAUGCCAUCAAAAAACGGACAAGCCAUGAAAACAUCAUGCUAGCUAUCUUACGAUCAUGCAAAGCAAUAUGACAAUGAUGGUGCGUGUCAUAAUAAACGGAACGAUGGAAGUUGCAUGGCAAUAUAUCUUGGAAUGGCUAUGGAAAUGCCAUAAUAGGUAGGUAUGGUGGCUGUUUUGACGAAGGGUAUAUGGUGGGUGUAAUGCACCGGCGAAAGUUGCGCGGUACUAGAGAGGCUAGCAAUGGUGGAAGGGUGAGAGUGCAUAUAAUCCAUGGACUCAACAUUAGUCAUAAAGAACUCACAUACUUAUUGCAAAAGUCUAUUAGUCAUCGAAACAAGGUACUACACGCAUGCUCCUAAGGGAAGGGUUGGUAGGAGUUAACCAUAGCGCGAUCCCGACUUCCACACAAAGGAUGACAAUCAAUAAAUAAAUCAUGCUCCGACUUCGUCACAUAACGGUUCACCAUACGUGCAUGCUACGGGAAUCACAAACCUUAACACAAGUAUUUCUACGAAUAUACAAUUCUCACUAGCAUGACUCUAAUAUCACAUCUUCAUGUCGCAAAACUAUUGCAAGGAAUCAAACAUAUCAUAUUCAGUGAUCUACAAGUUUUAUGUAGGAUUUUAUGACUAACCAUGUGAAUGAUCAACUCCUGUUAACUCUCUAAAUAGGUAUAAGUGAAGCAUGAGAGUUUAAUUCUUUCUACAAAAGAUAUGCCCCGCUCUAACAAAUGUAAGUGAAGCAAAAGAGCAUUCUACAAAUGGCGGUUUUCUAUGUGUAGGGAAACAGGCAAUCCAAACUUCAAAUGAUAUAAGUGAAGCACAUGAAGCAUUCUAUAAAGCCAUACUCAAAAGAUAUAAGUGAAGUGCAAAGAGCAUUCUAUAAAUCAACCAAGGACUAUCUCAUACCAGCAUGGUGCAUAAAAUAAAAAGGGGAAAUAAACACAAAAGACGCUCCAAGCAUUUGCACAUAUCAUGUGACGAAUAAAAAUAUAGCUCCGAGUAAAAUUACCGAUAGAUUGUAGACGAAAGAGGGGAUGUCUUCCGGGCCAUCCCCAAGCAUAGACGCUUGAGUAUUCCUUUGAUAUUACCUUGGGGUGCCUCGGGCAUCCCAAGCUUGGGCUCUCGCCUCUCCUUAUUCCUUCAUCCAUCGUGGUCUCACCCAAAACUUGAAAACUUCAAUCACACAAAACUCAACAAAACCUUCGUGAGAUCCGUUAGUAUAAUAAAGUAAAUCACCACUUUAAGUACUGUUGUGAACUCAUUCCAAAUUCAUAUUAGCAUUAUAUCUAUUGUAAUCCAACUUCACCAUGGUUCAUACCCCCCGAUACUACCCAUAGAUUCAUCAAAAUAAGAGAACAAUGCAUAGAAAACAGAAUAUGUCAAAAACAGAACAGUCUGUAGUAAUCUGAACUUAUACCAUCCUUCUGAUACUCCACAAAUUCUGAAAAAUUAUGAAAAUUAGGGAAAUUUGCAUAUCAAUCAUCAGCAAAAAGAAUCAACUCAAAAUCUCUUUUUGGAUAGGAAUUAAAAAUAAUUUCGUGAGCACAAAGUUUCUGUCUUUUUCAGCAUGAUCAAACAACUAUCAUCCAAACUAAUCAUAAAGGCUUUACUUGACACAUUAUUUUUAUAAUACAAUGGAAUUGUACAAGGGGAUAAUUAUUUUUGCGAGAAACUUCCAUGAAAAAUUCUACAUUGUUUCCAUGAGCAUGAACACAAGUGUUCAAAGUCGACCCUCACUUCCGCAAUGCAUCACCUUUCAAUCGCUUCUCUUUUUGAAAAGGUUUUAAGUACCCCUCUAUGUUUUUUUGUUUUUAAACUAUAUAAAAUCACUCAACAGAAAUAAAUGACUCUCUAAAACUUCCGGGUUGUCUCCUAGGCAGCGCUUUCUUUAAAGUCAUUAAGUUAGGCAUAAAGUGCUCAAGUAAUGGAUCCACCUGGAUCCCAAGGUAUAUCAAAGCCAAUUUUAAUUAACAAUGAUUAGUAAUUUAGUAGUGAGCACAAGGUACCAUAUAUCAUGCAAUGACGAAUUCUAACUCUCUUCCUAUGCAUUGGCAUGUCAUAAAAGAACAAUUCAUGCACAUCAAGUAAAGGCCAAUACAUAUCAUAAGCAGUUUCUUGCAAUUUUAUCAUAUUGGAAACAUAGAGAGGUGGAGAUGUAGUUCCUCUCUCAUAAUAAUUGCAAGUAGGAGCAGAAAGCACAUGCAUAUUAUAUUCAUCAAAAUCAUCAUGUGUAAUAGUAGAAGGCAACCCAUCUAUGUAAUCCCUAAUAAGAGCAAACUUCUCCGAUAUAGUGUAGUUGGGAGAGUUCAAAAAGAUAAUAGGACUAUCAUAAGUGGGUGCGAUAGCAACAGUUUCAUGUUUAACAUAAGGAACUAUAGCAAGUUCAUCUUCAUAAGCAUCAUUCAUAUUGGCAUCAUGGCCACAAGCAUAGCAAGCAUCAAGUUCAUCAAAAAGGGAUAUUUCAAAUGAAUCCAAGGGAUCAUAGCAAUCAACAUGGCAUUCAUCCUUCGAAGGGAAAUUAAACAACGCAUGAGCUGAAGAGUUACUCUCAUUAGAAGGUGGGCACGGGUAGCUAGUCCGCUCUUCCUCCUUUUGUUCUUCGCUCUCCUCGUCAUCUUUGUCAUCUAAUGAGCUCACAGUUUCAGCAUUUUCUUCUUCCAUAGUUUCCUGCAAAAUAUUAGUCUCUUCUUGGGCAGCAUAGAAUUUCUCCAUAAAUCGAUAAAUAUGGGCAUUAUAUUCAUAAUUAAUAUAACAAUAACGAAGCAUAACCAAAUUUUCAGAUCGGUAAGCAGCAUCAUCAUUAUCAUCACACCUUUUAAACAGAGCUUCAAUUUCAUAAGCACCCAUAAAAGCAACAAACUCUUCUAUUUGUUCCACAUCAUAGUAAUCAUAUAUACCAUUAGCAUAAGAAGCCAAGGUUUCAUUAGCAUUAAAUUUACAACAAAAGGGAAGGUGUUGAGCCUUCAUCCUAGAGCAACAAGUAAUAUCAUAUCUCAAGCAUAGCUCCCAAGCAUACCAUUUUAACAAAUGAAUUUGAUCCCAUAAUAGUUACCCUUUUUGAGUCAAGCGAUAAUCCCGAAAGUAUUCACGUUGAUCCAAUGUGUAUCCCAUUAUAUAAUUUAAUGAGGUUUUCUCAGGAUUAUUGAAGAAGUGCAUAAUAUUUUCCACAUAACGAGCAUCGAGGGUUUUAGGAGGUUUCCCAUCUCCAUGAAUAGCAAGUACACCUAAUUUUUUUGGUAUUUCGUGUUUCAUAUCCAUAACUAAAGAUAGAGAACAACUUAUAAUAGCAAAUAAAUCUACUUAGUGAUAAAGCAAACAAGCACACAUGAGAAUAUUCACCCCACGCUAUCUCUCCCCAGCAACGGCGCCAAAAAAAGGUCUUGAUAACCCACAAGUAUAGGGGAUCAAUUGUAGCCUUUCUCAAUAAGUAAGAGUGUCGAACCCAAUGAGGAGCUAAAGGUAGGACAAAUAUUUCCUCAAGUUCUAUCGACCACCGAUACAACUCUACGCACACUUUACGUUCGCUUUACCUAGAACAAGUAAGAAACUAGAAGUACUUUGUAGGCGUGAUAGGAUAGGUUUGCAAGAACACACAAAUAAAAACUAGGGGCUGGUUAGAUAAAUAAAAAAUUAUGUUAGUCUAACAAGUGUGGAAAAGUGGUGGUAGGAGUUGCGGAAUUGUCCCUAAGCAAUUGACUACGUUACUAGACCGAUAGCAAGUUUUAUGUGGGAGAGGCCACUGCUAGCAUGUCAUCCCUUACUUGGAAUUCUAUGCACUUAUGAUUGGAACUAUUAGCAAGCAUCCGCAACUACUAACAUUAAUUAAGGUAAAACCCAACCAUAGCAAUAAGAUAUAUUGGUCCCCCUUCAAUCCCGUAUGCAUCAAUUUCUAUGCUAGGCUGAAGCUUCUGUCACCCUUGCCCUCCAAUACAUAGUCUUAUUAACAUACUACUAACCCUAUGGUGUGAUCCACGCGCGCGCUCAUAUGAUGGGAACCAAAGGACAACAACAUAACCACAAGCAAAUUAAACCAAUCAUAGCAAUUCAUCAAUCACCGAUAGGACAACGAAAAUCUACUCAGACAUCAUAGGAUGGCAACACAUCAUUGGAUAAUAAUAUGUAGCAAAAAGCACCAUGUUCAAGUAGAGGGUACAACAGAUUGCGGGAGAAUGGACCGCUGAAUAUAGAUGGGGGAAGGUGAUGGAGGUGUUGGUGAGGAUGACGAAGGUGUUGGUGUAGAUCGCCGUCACACGAUGAUGUCCCGGGCGGCGUUCCGGCGCCGCCGGGAGAGAGGGGGAGAGAGUCCCCCUUCUUCUUCUUCUUCCUUGACCUCCUCCCUAGAUGGGAGAAGGGUUUCCCCUCUGGUCCAUGGUCUCCAUGUCGGAGGAUGGCGAGAGCCCCUCCGAGAUUGGAUCUCUCUCUCUCUCUGUGUCCUUCUCUUUCUGCGCUCCCAGAUUCUGCCUUUCACCGUUUCUUAAAUUCCCAGAGAUCCGUAACUCCGAUUGGGCUGAAAUUUUAACACGAUUUUCUUCCGGAUAUUAUCUUUCUUGCAACGAAAGAAGGGCCCCAACCUCCUUAGGGAUUGGUCACAAGCCUGCCAGCCGCGGCCUAGGGGGGCGCCUCCUGGGCUUGUGACCUCCUCGGGCAUCGUUUCGCAUAGAUUCUUCUUCCCAAAAAUCAUAAAUAUUCCAAAAAAAAUCCCCAUAGGUUUUUUAUUGCGUUUGGACUUCGUUUGGUAUGGAUAAUCUGCGAAACAAAAAAACAUGCAACAAACAUGAACUGGCACUGGGCACUGGAUCAAUAUGUUAGUCCCAAAAAUAGUAUAAAAAGUUGCCAAAAGUAUAUGAAAGUUGUAGAAUAUUGGCAUGAAACAAUCAAAAAUUAUAGAUACGACGGAGACGUAUCACUUGGCAGAUAAGGAGGUUGGCAAUGUCAACAAAAGUAUAUUUGAUAUACAUGUUAUUGACGUGUGCCUUACUAGGGCUCGUUGUAGCUCCUGGGUAUUUGAUACCAUUUCAGUUGCUAAUAUUAGUAACUCGGAACAGGAGUUGUGGUAUAAAUGGAGACUAGCUAAGGGAGAGGUGUAGAUGUGUGUUGGAAGUGUUUUCAAGGUUGAUGUGAUAACCAUCACACACUCCAUCUACCUUCGGGAUUAGUGGUAAACCUAAAUAAAUGUUAUUUGGUGUCUGCAUUGAGCAUGAACAUUAUAUUGAUUUUGUUCAUUGCGAACGAUUAUUUACGUAAGUGAGAGAAUAAUGGGUUAUUCUGUUUACAUGAAUAAUAUCUUUUAUUAUCAUGCACCCAAUGUGAAUGGUUUAUUGAAUCUCGAUCGCAGUGAUACACAUGUUCAUAGUAUUGAUGCGAAAAGACACAAAGUUAGUAAUGAUAUUACCACUUACUUGUGGCACUGCCGCUUAGGUCAUAUUGGUAUAAAACGCAUGAAGAAACUCCAUGCUGGUAGAUCUUUUGGACUCGCUUGAUUUUUAAUCGCUUGAGACAUGCAAAUCAUGCUACAUGGGCAAGAUGAAUUAAUGCCUCGUUUUCCUGUGAGAUGGAACGGGCAAAUAACUUAUUGGAAAUAAUACAUUUUGAUGUAUUUAAUCCAAUGAGUGCUGAAGCACGCAGUGGAUAUCGUUAUGUUCUUACCUCACAGUUGAUUUGAGUAGAUAUGGGUAUAUUUACUUCAUGAAUCACAAGUUUUAAAUGUUGAAAAGUUCAAGCAAUUUUAGAGUGAAGUUCAAGAUCGUCGUGACAAGAGGAUGAAAUGUCUACGAUGUGAUCGUAGAGGUGAAUAUCUAAGUCAUGAGUUUGGUAUACAUUUAAGACACUGUGGAAAUUAUUUCACAACUCAUGCCACCCGGAACACCAUAGUGUGAUGGUGUGUCCGUACGUCGUAGCCAUGCCCUAUUGGAUAUGGUGCAUACUAUGAUGUCUCUUAUCGAUUUGCCACUAUUGUUUUGGGAUUAUGCAUUAUAGACAACCACAUUCAAUUUAAAUAGGGAACCAUAUAAUUCCAUUGAGAUGACAUCGUAUGAACUAUGGUUUGGCAAGAGGACGCUUGAUAAAGACUUUCAAUAAAGACAUACCUUGACAAGAUUUUGAAGGAGUUCAAAAUGGAUCAGUCAAAGAAGGAGUUCUUGACUGUAUUGCAAGGUGUGAGUUUGAGUAAGACUCAAAGCCUGACCACGGUAGACGAAAGAGAAAGGACGAAGGUCGUCCCCUAUGCCUUAGCCGUAGGCUCUAUAGUAUGACAUGCUAUGUACCGUACCCGAUGUGUGCCUUGCCAUGAGUCUGUCAAGGGGUACAAGAGUGAUCCCGGAGUGGAUCACUGAACAUUGGUCAAAAAUAUCCUUAGUAACUUGAGAACUAAGGAAACGUUUCUUGAUUAUGGAGGUGAUAAAAGAGUUCGUCAUAAACGGUUACAUAGAUGCAAGCUUUGACACCAAUCCAGAUGACUGUGAGUAGCAAAAUAGAUUUUUAUAGUGGAGCGGUCAUUUGGAAUAGUUCCAAGUGGAGCGUGGUAGCAGCAUCUACAACAUCACAUAGAGAUUUAUAAAGUACACACGGAUCUAAAUGCUGCAGACUCAUUGACUAAAGCCUCUCUCACUAGCAAAACAUGAUCAAACCCCGAAAUUUAUUGGGUGUUAAUCACAUGGUGAUGUGAACUAGAUUAUUGACUCUAGUGCAAGUGGGANNNNNNNNNNUGAAUUAUGCCAUAGAGGCAAUAAUAAAUUAGUUAUUAUCAUAUUUCCUUGUUCAUGGUAAUCUUUUAUUAUCCAUGCUAUAAUUGUAUUGAUUGGAAACUCACAUACAUGUGUGGAUACAUAGACAAACACAAUGUCCCUAGUAAGCUUCUAGUAAACUAGCUCGUUGAUCAAAGAUGGCUAAAGUUUGCUAGCCAUAGACAUGAGUUGUCAUUCGAUAAGAGGAUCACAAUGUUAGGAGAAUGAUGUGAUGGACAAGUCCCAACCGCAAGCAUAGCAUAUGAUCGUGUCAGUUUAUUGCUAGUGUUAUAUUCAUGUCAAGUGUUUGUUCCUACGGCCAUGAGAUCAUGCAACUCACUCACACCAGAGGAAUGCCUUGUGUGUAUCAAAUGUCACAACGUAACUGGGUGACUAUAAAGGUGCUCUACAGGUAUCUUUGAGGGUGUCUGUUGGGUUGGCAUGGAUCGAGAUUGGGGUUUGUCGCUCCGUAUAACGAAGAGGUAUAUCUCGGCCCACUCGGUAAUACAACAUCACAAGAAGCUUGCAAGCAAUGUGACUAAGAAGUUAGUCAUGGGAUCUUGUAUUACAGAACGAGUAAAGAGACUUGCCGGUAACGAGAUUGAACUAGGUAUGGAGGUACCGAUGAUCGAAUCUCGGGCAAGUAGCAUACCGAUGGACAAAGGGAACUGCAUACAGGGUUGAUUGAAUCCAUGACAUGGUGGUUCGACCGAUAAAGAUCUUCGUAGAAUAUGUAGGAGCCCAUAUGGGCAUCCAGGUCCCGCUAUUGGUUAUUGACCGGGGAGUGUCUUGGUCAUGUCUGCAUAUUUCUUGAAUCCACAAGGUCUGCACACUCAUGGUUUAGUGACGAUUUGGUAUUAAUGAAUUAUGUAUGAUGGGGACCGGAAGUUAUUCGGAGUCCAGUAUGAUAUCCCAGACAUCAUGAGGAGUUCCGGAAUGGUCCGGAGACAAAGAAUGAUAUAUAGGAAAGAUGUAUUCGGGUUCCGGCAAGGUUUUAGGUGUUUCUCGUAUUAUACCGGGAGUGUCGAAAGGGUUCCAGGGUCCAAUGGGAGGGGCCCACCCAUCCCGGGGGGGCACAUGGACUGAAGAGGUGGCGCACGAACCCCUGAUGGGCUAGGCAGCCGAUCCCAAGGGCCCAUGCGCCCCAAUGGUGGUAGGUGGGAGGAGUCCUACACGAGAGAGGCUCCUCCCUAGGGCGCGCUCCACCUCCCUUGUAGAAGGUGGACACCUCCUUGGCCACCGGCCCUAGGGGAAAACCCUAGGGCACCACCCCUCCUCCCUUCCCCCAAUAUAUAGUGGGGAGGGGAGAGGACAGACGCACCAUAAGCCACGACGCAGCCUCUCCCUCUCCCUUGAGAUCAGUUUCUCGUCUAGAUCGUCGCGGUAGUGCUUCGCAAAGCCCUACCGAGGCAGCCCCACCACCACCGCCGCCACGCCGUCAUGCUGUGAGAGAACUCAUCUACCUCUCCGCCCUUGCUUGCUGGAUCAAGGAGGCGGAGAUGUCAUCAGGCUGUACGAGAGGAGAGAGAGCAGCCGCACCAUAAGCCACGGUGCAACAUCUUCCUCUCCCUCUAGAUUAGUUUCUCGUGUAGAUCGUCAUGGUAGAGUUUGGUGAAGCCAUACCGGGGCAACCCCACCACCAUCGCCACCAUGUCGUUGUGCUGCCGGAGAACUCAUCUACCUCUCCGCCCUCGCUUACUGGAUUAAGGAGGCGAAGACGUCAUCAAGUUUUACAUGUGCUGGACGCGGAUGUGCCAUACCUUCAGCGCUAGAUCGGACGGAUCGUGAUUGGAUCGCGAAGACGUUCGGCUACAUCGGCCGUGUUAUAUACACUUCUGCUUAGCGAUCUACAAGGGUAUGUAAAUGCAAUCUCUCCUCUCGUAGAUGUUCAUCUCCUAGAUUCAUCUUGGUAAGCGUAGGAAUUUUUUUUCCCAUGCAACGUUCCCCAACAAACAAUAGUCAUUUAUUUCAUUUGGUAUUCUCAGGUCAUGCCUUGCUUUCUAAAAAAAUGAUUUCUUGAAGAAGUUGAGUCUUAAAACAUCUGAUAUAACUGAAGUUUGAGCUUCCUUGAGAUAAAGUAGGAGCUUUCGGUAUCAAGGUCGGGAAUUUAGAAGAAAUGACUUUUUUCGGAGGCCACAAUUGUACCAUAUUUAUAAUAGUGUACGCCCUUUCAGGUGAUAUGCAAAUUUACCUCAAUUUAGAUGCCCAUCCUAAUGGAUCCAUUAGUGUGCAACUAUCCAAUGAUACCUUCACCCUACAUUUACAAUAAUCUAUGAGAUGGAGUACAAUAAGCUAUUAGAUGGAGCACAUUUAUAGUUGAAGGAUAACAUAGCAUAAAUUCAAAAAAAUUCCUACGCAUGUUCAGAUCUUCCUAUGGAGAGACCAGCAACGAGAGAGGGGUAAGAGCAUCUUCGUACCUUUGAAGAUCGCUAAGCGGAAGCGUUGCUAGAACGCGGUUGAUGGAGUCGUACUCGCAGCGAUUCCGAUCUAGUGCCGAACAACGGCACCUCCGCGUUCAACACACGUGCAGCCCGGUGACGUCUCCCGCACCUUGAUCCAGCAAGGAGGAGGGAGAGGUUGGGGAAGAAGACCAGCAACACGACGGCAUGGUGUUGGUGGAGAGACGAGGUCUCCCGGCAGGGCUUCGCCAAGCGCCGGCACAGAGGAGGAGGAAGAAGUGCAGGGCUGCGCCGAGGGAGAGGGAAAACUGUGUCCUCCAAAGGCCAAAAGUGCCCACUAUAUAUAGGGGAAGGGGAGAGGGGGUGCCACCCCUAGGGUUCCCACCCUAGGGGGUGCGGCAGCCCUCCCAGAUGGGGUUUGUGGCGGCCAGAUGGGGAGGAGGGGUGGCGCACCACUCUGGUGGGCCUAAGGCCCACCUAAGUUAGGGUUCCCCCCCUCUUUUUCUUUCCCCUGCGCCAUGGGAUGAGUGGGGAGGCGCACCAGCCCAACUAGGGGCUGGUUCCCACCCCCACUUAGCCCAUCUUACCUCUUGGGGUCGCAGCCCCCCUUCGGUGGUCCCCCGGGACCACCUCCGGUGGUCUUGGUGGUCCCGGUACGUUACCGGUGAUGCCCGAAACACUUCCGGUGUCCGAAACCAUCCGUCCUAUAUAUCAAUCUUUACCUCCGGACCAUUCCGGAGCUCCUCGUGACGUCCUGGAUCUCAUCCGGGACUCCGAACAAUAUUCAGUAACCAACCAUAUAACUCAAAUACGCAUAAAACAACGUCGAACCUUAAGUGUGCAGACCCUGCGGGUUCGAGAACUAUGUAGACAUGACCCGAGAGACUCCUCGGUCAAUAUCCAAUAGCGGGACCUGGAUGCCCAUAUUGGAUNNNNNNNNNNNNNNNNNNNNNNNNNNNNNNNNNNNNNNNNNNNNNNNNNNNNNNNNNNNNNNNNNNNNNNNNNNNUGGUAUGUUACUUGCCCGAGAUUCGAUCGUCAACAUCCGUAUACCUAUUUCAAUCUCGUUUACCAACAAGUCUCUUUACUCGUUCCGUAAUACAAGAUCCCGCAACUUACACUAAGUUACAUUGCUUGCAAGGCUUGUGUGUGAUGUUGUAUUACCGAGUGGGCCCCGAGAUACCUCUCCGUCAUACGGAGUGACAAAUCCCAGUCUCGAUCCAUACUAACUCAACGAACACCUUCGGAGAUACCUGUAGAGCAUCUUUAUAGUCACCCAGUUACGUNNNNNNNNNNNNNNNNNNNNNNNNNNNNNNNNNNNNNNNNNNNNNNNNNNNNNNNNNNNNNNNNNNNNNNNNNNNNNNNNNNNNNNNNNNNNNNNNNNNNGAUGUGCCUUUGAAUGGUGCAUUUUGAACACACAAAAAGUAUGGAGUUCAAAUAAUUUCAAAAAAAUGAAAUCCCUUUGUAAGAGAUGAGUUCUCAUUCGAAACCCUAAUACUUCGAGAGAGAUUGUCUGUUUUGUACACGAAGUGCAUCCAGUUUUUGUCGUAGCCCUCUCAACUUUUUAACACAUGCUAUGUGGGUGAAAUGAUGAUAGCAUGCCAACUUUCAACAUUUUCAGAGUUCAUUUGUAGUGCUUUUCAAUUUCAGGGUCAACUAGCUCAAAAAAAUAAUAAGUAAAUGCACGAAGCAUACCAAAUGAAGUAAGAAAUUGUUGAAGUUUUCUGAUGUGCCUUUGAAUGGUGCAUUUUGAACACACAAAAAGUAUGGAGUUCAAAUAAGUUCAAAAAAUGAAAUCCCUUUGUAAGAGACGAGUUCUCGUUCGAAACCCUGAUACUUCGAGAGAGAUUGUUCGUUUUGUACACGAAGUGCAUCCAGUUUUUGUCGUAGCCCUCUCAACUUUUUAACACAUGCUAUGUGGGUGAAAUGAUGAUAGUAUGCCAACUUUCAACAUUUUCAGAGUUCAUUUGUUGUGCUUUUCAAUUUCAAACACUUUUCAAUUGAAAAUAACAAAAUAGUUNNNNNNNNNNCUUUUGAAAAUAGAAAAUAGUUUUAAAUUAUUUAUUCAAUUUCAAACACUUUUCAUUAUCAUAGUUUUGUCAAAUUCUCAAAUAUGCAAAAAGAAUUUUAAUAAACAUAGUUUUUAAUUGAAAAUAACAAAAUAGUUAAUUUUGAAAAUAGAAAAAAAUUGAAACUAUAUGAGAAUUUGUAAAGAAACUUAAACCUAAAUUCAAAGUGAGCUCACUUUGAAUUCAGGUUUAAUUUUCUCCACAAUUUCAAAUAUAGUUUCAAUUUUUAAAUUUAUAGUCAGUUUAGGCCCGUAAGCCUGCUUUAGAGAGGAGCUCGAUGGAGUAGCUGCGACGGGGCUUAUAAACAAGUGUUAGUCCCCCUCGUUGGGCGAGGUGGGACUAAACUUAUUGUGCAGCCGAGGAGGGGCUUUAGUCCCGGGUGGAGCCACGACCCGGGAGUAAAGCUCCUCGCCUGCCGCCUGCCGAGGAGGGGCUUUAGUCCCGGUGCGUGGCUCCAACCGGGACUAAAGACCCCUUUAGUCCCGGUUGGAGCUCCGCACCGGGACUAAAGGCCCCUGCUUCCCGCCUUUUGGUCUGCCGAAAAAGGGCCUUUAGUCCCGGGGUGUGGCUCCACCCGGGACUAAAGGGGGUCUUUAGUCCCGGUUCGAGCCCCGAACCGGGACUAAAGAUCCACCUAUAUAAGCGGGAGUUAGAAAAAUUCCAACCCAAAAUCAUUCGUUUCUCUUCUUCUUCCUCUCAUUCUCCUGCCCAGCGCGGCACACCGACGACCUCGCCGACGACGUCAGGCUGCCCGCCGUCCUCCUCGCCGCCGCCUGCCGUCCUCCUCGCCGUCGCCGUCAUCCUCCUCGCCGCGGCCGUCCUCCUCGCCACGCGCCGCCGUCCUCCUCGGCGCGCGCCGUCGACACCUCCGGCCGGUAAGCCCCCCGCCCCCUCCUCCCCAACACUCCGGACAGUAGAAGAAAAGAAGAAAAAGGAGAAGAAAAGAAGAAAAAGGAGAAGAAAGGAAGAAAAAGGAGAAGAAAGGAAGAAAAAGGAGAAAAAGGGAAGAAAAAGGAGAAGAAAAGAAGAAAAGGAGAAGAAAAGAAGAAAAAGCGAAGGAGAAGAAAAGAAGAAAAAGGAGAAGAAAAGAAGAAAAAGGGAAGAAAGGAAGAAAAAGGGGAAGAUAGGAAGAAAAAGGAGAAGAAAGGGAGAAAAAGGAGAAGAAAGGAAGAAAAAGGAGAAGAAAGGAAGAAAAAGGAGAAGAAAAGAAGAAAAAGAAAAAGAUUUUUUUGUCAUUUAAUUCCUAUUGUUAUUAGGUUUUUGCUAGAUUAUUAGGGUUAGUAAUAUUUAGAAUUAGGUUAGGGUUACAAGAAGAAGAAAUAUGAACAAAAAUAAGAAAAUAAGAUUAGGAAAAAGGAAAAUAAGAAGAGGAGGAGAAGAAAAUAAGAAAAAGGAGAAUAAGAAGAGGAGGAGAGGAGAAUAAGAGGAAAAAUAGAAGAAGAGGAGAAGUAGAAGAAGAGAAAAAAUUAGAAGAGGAGGAGAGAAGAAGUAGAAGAAGAGAAGAGGAGAAGUAGUAGAAGAAGAGGAGAAGUAGAAGUAGAAGAAGAAGUAGAAGAAGAGGAAAAAUUCGGUUAGGGUUACAAGAAGGAGAAAUAUUUUUUUUGUCAUUUAAUUUUGCUAUUGUAUAGUGUAUAUGCUUAAGUGUUAAUAGUGUUUCUUAGAUUAUUGCUUAAUUUUGCUAUUGUAUAUGCUUAAGUGUUAAUAGUUUAAUUUUGCUAUUGUAUAUGCUUAAGUGUUAAUAGUUUAUUUUUAGCAAGAAAAUUAAUAGAAUUAGUUUAUUUUUUUAGUUCAUUUUACGAUGCCUAUCCCGCAUCCUCGUCGUCGACUCGGCGGAGGACACCUGCUUGAUCAGAGGGGCCCUGUCCGGGACUGGGCUCCGCCCGGCUGGUAUUGGGAGGUGCUACCUUCUGGGGGGCGUAGGUUGGUGAGGAGCCAGCCCGUUGUUGACCCGAUCCUUGUUUGGUGGCGGUCGCGUGGGCCAGUGACGGUGCCGAGGCUUCCGGACACCGCGGAGGUGGUACGUCACCGUGUCAGCGAGGAGGAUGAGCACUUCCGCCGCUACAUGGUUGCGUUGGAGGGCAGGUUCGAGCAUACCUGGCAGGUUCUUCGGGGAUCUCACUGGAGCUAUGAUCCUGUGAUGGUUCCUUCUCUUUGGGUGUCCAUCGCCAGCGACGAUACCCGUCGGGCGCUACGGUUCUAGAUGUAUCAGUGAUGCUAUAUGUAUGAUAGUAUUCGAGGAGUAUUAGUGAUAAUAUUCGACGAUGUACGGACAAAAGAGAUGAUGUAUUUGCUUGUAAUUGAAUGCAUGCUAAUUUGAAUACUACUUUAUUUUACGAUUUGGUUUUGCUUAUUGAAUGCUCAAAUUGGAAAAGUACUCCUACUUUGAAUACUAUGCAGAAAUCUAGGAGUCCCGGGUGGAGCCACGACCCGGGACUAAAGUUGUUUUGGAACGGAGUUCCUGAUAGAAUAAUGUGACAUAUAGAAGGGUAGAUGAGAUCAGGAAAAAUAGGAUCAUUUUCUACACAUCUAGAAUGUCGCCAUUUUGUUAAAUCCUUAAAGGUUAAGAGAAUCCGUUAGACAUAUUUUAGAGUUUAGGUUCUAGCCAAGACCCAGAACUAAAGGUCCUCCUAUAUAAAACGACACUUCAAAGUUUCCAACCCUCUUAUAUAGUUUGUUAGUUUCUUAGUUAAUCAAAUGUCCGUUUUUUGCAGAACUAUGGAUCCACAUAUCAGGAACCUCGAAAAGGAAGAAAUUCUCGAAGAUAUAAUCAAAGACGGCCCCGACGUUGAACCAGCUGAAUCUCCGUCGUCAUAUCUAAACCCCUCCGGAUAUGGAAUGGAGGUCGACCGACACGAAGAUGAAGCCGAUGGGGCAGGAGAUAGGUCCAGUGACGGAGAAGGUGAUAGCUCCACUGAUGGAGAAGCCGGUGAAGAAAUAAUAAAGUCCGGCGAGGUAUACAUAUGAAGUUCGACAAUCACUUGUAAUAUGUGAAAAAUAUUGGAGAUAGCUCUAUAUUGUAUACAUAUACAUUCAUUUGAUGAAUGUUUCUCCCUCUUAGGCCUCCACAUCGAGCAAAGCUACGAAACGAGGCCCGACUAGAAAGUUGGAUGCACGGACGCAUUACACCUUUGAGGUGAUAUUGCCUACAGGCGAACCCAAGCUUCCUAAGAAUGCUGCUGACACAUUCAAGAAGCAAUGCGGAGUUCUCAUUAGGGAUCACGUCCCGAUCAGCGUUCGGGAGUGGAACAAGCGCAAAGGGGCAGCCGAUAGUGACUAUGUCGCCGAAAGGUACAAAGAUAAUCUUUGGAAUGAUCUCAUGUCACAUUUCAACCUGCCAGAAUGUGAGAAUGAAGACGCCGCAGACAAAUUGAGGGCCAAAGUCAAGCAGUGGACUCUAAAGAAGAUGGCCGAACUGUUCCGUAGCUGGAAGAAGAAGCUAUGGAAAAACUAUCUGAAGACAAAGAAAGUGCCAGUAUUCGAGGGGUAUCUAGCCAAGCAGGCGAAUCACUGGAAGGCAUUUCAAGAGUACAAGGAGUCAGAAGAUGCCCAGGCAUUAUCAGAAAAGAACAAGAUAAAUGCCGACAAGAAGAAAUAUCACCACAAGCUGGGGACAGGGGGCCAUGAGACUGCCAUCCCAAAGUGGGAUAAGAAAGAGGAAGAUCUUCUAGCUAAAGGCAUCGUACCCGAACCACUCCGUGAUGAGUGGGAAUUGAGAGCAAGAAAUUGGUUCCUUGCGCAUGGUGGUUCGUACGACGAAGAAACAGGGGACCUCAUCUGCAGUGACGGUCUUAGGAUACCCAGGGAGAAUUGGAAAAGGAUAGUGAAAGAAAUUAAGGAGGGAAAAAGAAAGUUCACUGCAGAUAGAGAGAAAGAUUUGCUCACACUGGUCCUCGGCAAUGACGAACAUGGAGGACGAACGCGAGGCUUCGGUCCUUCUUACCCGUGGUGGCUUGGGUUUGCCAGAGACCAAGACACUUACAGAAGCCGAGAGAGAGCAAAGAAGCGGCAGCAGGAUGAGGAGAAUGAAAAGUUCAACUAGUUGCUUGCCAGGAUUAACGAGCAACAGAAGCAGAUUGAUGAGCUUAGAGGAGUAGCGCGCCAGGAAGAUCCUGCAUUUGAUAUUACCGGCGCCCCAUCUAAGCGGAAAAGCAGCGUGGCUGAAUCUGAGGCCCCGCCCGACGAUGCACGAAGAAUGAUAGAGGGCGGUCCCGGCUACCCCGUGGAUGGAAUCAAGGAGUCAACAUCAUGUGAACUCCAUCAGAAAUUCAAGAACAUAUCCAUAAAGGUGGCCGUCGGACAAGCUUUACCUUCUGGCCCUGAUGCACGCUGGCAUGGCCGUGAGAUUCCAGCUGGCUUUGCUAAAGUCGGGGUGGAUGAAAUCAUGCUGGGGUUUCAUGAUAUGGAGCUCGACAUAGCUGGACCCGAAGAUGAGAGGACACUCGGAGAAGUACUGGGUGGAGUCAUCCUAUGGGACAAGAACUACAUCAAGCUUCCAGGCUCGGCCCCAAGGACAACACCGCCUCCGAGUCGUCGUAGGUCACCUACACCUCCAUCACCUCCAAGCCCUCCACAUGACGUCGGCCAGCACAAGACGAGUCCAUCUCGAUCACCACCGCCGGACUUGGGUCGUCCGUCUCCGCCGCCGCCCGCUCCAGAUACUAAGCGGAAGCGUGCCAGCAAGAACGCUCCGCCGACGAUUUCUAAGCGAUGGAGCCCCCCAAAGCGCAAACUGUCGCCCCUCCCAAAGGUAGCUCAUGCUAAUUUUCCUAUCAGAGCUUAUGAUCGUACCCCCGAGGAAGACGCCAGGAUAGCAAAGGAACAUCAUGAUGCGCAGAUGAAAAAGAAGGAACCCGAGCCCCGCCCGGAAUACACCGAGAAGCAAAUAGCAUUUGCAAAAUACUUCACGACCCUUCCAUCACAGUAUGACUUACACCAUAAGCCUGAUGAAUAUACACGCACAUUGCAGAAGGAAGUGAAAAAGAGCAGAUCACGUGCAAGUGCAAGUGGGAGCAAAUCAAGCUCAACUACAAGCAAGAAAAAAUCAGACGUUCCUCAGCUUGGACAACAGGCCAAACAGUCGAUCCCACCCCUCACGGUGUUACCCGAGAAUGUCCCCCCUCCGGUGCAGGGGCAAUAUUCGUAAUUAGCAAAGAAGUGGGCGGAUGAAUGGGGUAUCCCGGUUGAAGACAUUCUGGCUUCCCAAGACGACAGGUUACCCAAGGCUGUGGUAGCCCCUAAGCCACAGUUUGUCAUGGGAGCGCCUUUGGUCAGCAAAGAUGAUCUCCCAACAAAUAUGCGUUACUUGCAUACAUGGUACUUAAGUGAAUCAAAGAAUGGGAGAACGAUGAUCGUGGUGAGUGUCCCACGGGAGUACUACGGCCGCCCCGAAGAAAUCCAUAUCGACUUUGAUGAACUCUUCCAGAUGUACAAUGGCGACGCCCUCGACAAAUCGCUUAUGAGUUGCUAUUCUCUGUAAGUUUUUCAAUUCGGUGUCUACAUAUAACUUGUUUAGUUAUUUCAAUUCAUUGUCUAUAUAUAACUUGUACUCUAUUAUGCAGAAUGAAGAUUCUGGAUUGUAAAAGUAGGAACAUCCUAAAUAUUGGGUUUAUUGACCCAGAUAAAAUACAUAUAGCGACGCUAACUGAUAAACCCAAGGAGACGGAGGAAAACCUUCUAAGGUUUCUAACAGAUCAAAAUUUCUGUGACCACAUACUGUUUCCAUACAACUUCAGGUGAGGGUCUUUACUCUGUUGUGUCCAUUCACUUAUAAGUGUAAUUGAUAAGUUACUGACACACACACACAUAUAUAUACAUGUGCAGCUUCCAUUGGAUUCUGUUGGACAUUCAAAUUGAUAAGGGAAGAGUUGAUGCCUUCGACCCAUUAUCGAGACCCUUGGAACAGUUCCAAAGCCUGCAGGACAUGCUCCAAGGGUAAUUUCAAUCAUUCUUGCGCUCUAUCGGUCUCUUUUGAUGAUUUUCUGAUAUAUCAAUUAAUGAAAAACUUAGCAAAUCAUUAUCCUUGUCGGCCAGGGUUUGGAAGCGGUUCAAGUGCGUGACUCCCGGUAUCGAGCCUGAGAAGCUGACCUUUAGAGCGGCUCAGGUAAGUACUAGUAUAAUAUACUUCUAUUUUCAAUACAUUUAUGAUGCUAGAUUAUUAUUUUGAUUAUAUAUAUUCUAUUCUCGUAAAGUGCGACCAGCAGCCACGGGGGACGCAUCUAUGCGGAUACUAUGUUUGCGAGACCAUUCGCACGUUUACCUCUGAGCACAAGGAUCACAGAUUCGACGUAAGCAAUGAACAUUCACACCUCUAUUUUUACCCGUCAUUCUUUGUUAUCAUGAUUAAUAUUCAUAUUCAUCUCCUCUUCUUAUAUAGUACACGGCCAUGAGGGAGAAGGUCCUACCAGAGCAACGCGUGAUUGCUGUUGCAGAGGAGCUUGCGACCUUUCUGAGGACGGAAGCUAUAGAUGACAAAGGACGAUUUAGUGUAGCUAGGGGCCAUUACUGAUGUUCGUGUUGGGAACGUCGCAUGGGAAACAAAAAUUUUCCUACGCGCACGAAGUCCUAUCAUGGUGAUGUCCAUCUACGAGAGGGGAUUUCCGANNNNNNNNNNAACGUCGCAUGGGAAACAAAAAAUUUCCUACGCCCACGAAGUCCUAUCAUGGUGAUGUCCAUCUACGAGAGGGGAUUUCCGAUCUACGUACCCUUGUGGAUCGCACAGCAGAAGCGUUAGUGAACGCGGUUGAUGUAGUGGAACGUCCUNNNNNNNNNNNNNNNNNNNNNNNNNNNNNNNNNNNNNNNNNNNNNNNNNNNNNNNNNNNNNNNNNNNNNNNNNNNNNNNNNNNNNNNNNNNNNNNNNNNNUCCCACUUGCACUAGAGUCAAUAAUCUAGUUCACAUCACCAUGUGAUUCCAACGAAUCCAACACCCAUAUAGUUAUGGGGUCUGAUCACGUUUUGCUCGUGAGAGAGGUUUUAAUCAACGUUCUGAAACUUUCAGAUCCGUGUGUUCUUUACAAAUCUUUAUGUCAUGUUAUAGAUGCUGCUACUAUGUGCUAUUCGGAAAUACUCCAAAUAUCUACUCUACUAUACGAAUCUGUUUCACUACUCAUAGUUAUUCAGAUUAGUGUCAAAGCUUGCAUCGACAUAACCCUUUACGACGAACUCUUUAACCACCUCCAUAAUCGAGAAAAAUUCCUUAGUCCAUCAGUUACUAAGGAUAAAUUUUGACCGCUGCUAGUGAUUCAAUCAUGGAUCACUCUCUGUACCUCUCAACAGACUUUGAGUCAAGGCACUCAUCAGGUGCGGUACCCAGCAUGGCAUACUUCAGAUUCUACGGCCAAGGCAUAGAAGACGACCUUCGUCUAUUCUCUUUAUUCUGCCGGGGUCGGGUUUUGAGUCUUACUCAAAAUCACACCUCACAACGCAACCAAGAACUCCUUCUUUGCUGAUCUAUUUUGAACUCCUUCAAAAACUUGUCAAGGCAUGCAUCUUGUUGAAACUUCUAUUAAGCGCUUUCGAUCUAUCUUCAUAGAUCUUUGAUGCUCAACGUUCAAGUAGCGCAAUCCAGGUAUUCCUUUGAAAACUCCUUUCAAACAACCUUGUAUGCUUUACAGAAAUUCUACAUUACUUCUGAUCCACAAUAUGUCAACCACAUAUACUUAUCAGAAAUUCUAUAGUGCUCCCACUCACUUCUUUGGAAAUACAAGUUUCUCAUAAACCUUGUACAAACCCAAAAUCUUUGAUCAUCUCAUCAAAGUGUAUAUUCCAACUCCGAGAUGGUUGCACCAGUCCAUUGAAGGAUUGCUGGAGCUUGCAUACUUGCUAGUAUCUUUAGGAUCGACAAAACCUCCNNNNNNNNNNUCAACGUUCAAGUAGAUCAAUCCAGGUAUUCCUUUGAAAACUCCUUUCAAACAACCUUAUAUGCUUUACAGAAAUUCUACAUUACUUCUGAUCAACAAUAUGUGUACCACAUACACUUAUCAGAAAUUCUACAGUGCUCCCACUCACCUCUUUGGAAAUACAAGUUUCUCAUAAACCUUGUACAAACCCAAAAUCUUUGAUCAUCUCAUCAAAGUGUAUAUUCCAACUCCGAGAUGUUUGCACCAGUCCAUUGAAGGAUCGCUGGAGCUUGCAUACUUGCUAGUAUCUUUAGGAUCGACAAAACCUCCUGGUUGUAUCACAUACAAUGUUUGCUCAAGGGAACCGUUGAGGAAACAAUGUUUUGACAUCCUAUGUGCAAUAUUUCAUAAAUAAUGCAGCAACUACUAACAUAAUUCUAACAGACUUUUAGCAUCGCUAUGAGUAAGAAAGUCUCAUCAUAGUCAACUGUUUGAUCUUGUCAGAAACAUCUUUGCGACAAGUCGAGCUUUUCUUAAUAGUGACUUAUCACCAUCAUCGUCUGUCUUCCUUUUAAAGAUCCAUCUUUACUCAAUAGUCCUAUGACCAUCAAGUAGUUCUUCCAAAGUCUACACUUUGUUUUCAUACAUGGAUCCUCUCUCGGAUUUCAUGGCCUCCAGCCAUUUGUCGGAAUCCGGGCCCACCAUUGCUUUCUCCAUAACUCGUAGGUUCAUUGUUGCUCAACAACAUGACCUCCAAGACAGGGUUACCAUACCACUCUGCAGUAGUACGCGACCUUGUCAACCUACGAAAUUUGUAGUAACUUGAUUCGAUGCUCGAUGAUCACCAUCAUCAGCUUUCACUUCAAUUGGUGUAGGCGCCACAGGAACAACUUCCUGCGCCCUGCUACACACUAGUUGAAGUGAUGGUUCAAUAACCUUAUCAAGUUCUACCACCCUCCCACUCAAUUCUUUCGAGAGAAACCUUUCCUCGAGAAAGGAUCCGUUUCUAGAAACAAACACUUUGCUUUCGGAUCUGAGAUAGGAGAUGUACCCAACUGUUUUGGAUAUCCUAUGAAGAUGCAUUUAUCCGCUUUGGGUUCGAGCUUAUCAGACUGAAACUUUUUCACAUAAGUGUGGAAGCCCCAAACUUUCAAGAAACGACAGUUUAGAUUUCUCUAAACCUCAGUCUAUACUGUGUCAUCUCAACGGAAAUACGCGGUGCCCUAUCUAAAGUGAAUGCGGUUGUCUCUAAUGCAUAACCCAUAAACGAUAGUGGUAAUUCGAUAAGAGACAUCAUAGCAUGCACCAUACCAAAUAGUGCGUGGCUAUGACGUUCAGACACAUCAUCACACUAUGAUGUUCCAGGUGGCAUGAACUGCGAAACAAUUUCCACAUUGUAUUAACUGCGUACCAAAACUCGUAACUCAGAUAUUCAUCUCCAUGAUCAUAUCGUAGACAGUUUAUCCUCUUGUUACGACGAACUUCACUCUGAAACAGAAUUGAACUUUUCAACAUUUCAGACUUGUGAUUCAUUAAGUAAAUACCCCUGUAUCUACUCAAAUCGUCAGUGAAAUAAGAACAUAAUGAUAUCCACUGCGUGCCUCAGCACCCAUUGGACUGCAUACAUCAAAAUGUAUCACUUCCAACAAGUUACUAUCUUGUUUCAUCUCAAUGAAAACAAGGCCUUGCUCAUGUGGUGUAAUUUGCAUGUCACUAGUGAUUCAAAAUCAAGUGAGUAUAAAGAUCCAUCAGCAUGGAGCCUCUUCAUGCAAUUUAUACCAACAUGACUCAAGCGGCAGUGCCACAAGUAAGUGGUACUAUCAUCAUUACCUCGUAUCUUUUGGCACCAAUAUCAUGAACAUGUGUAACACUACAAUCGAGAUUCAAUAAACCAUUGAAGGUGAUUAUUCAAGCAAAUAGAGUAACCAUUAUUCUCUUUAAAUGAAUAAUCCUAUUGCAAUAAACACGAUCCAAUCAUGUUCAUGCUUAACGCAAGCACCAAAUAACAAUUAUUUAGGUUUAACACCAAUCCCGAUGGUAGAGGGAGCGUGCGACGUUUGAUCAUAUCAACCUUGGAAACACUUCCAACACGUAUCGUCACCUCGCCUUUAGCUAGUCUCCGUUUAUGCCGUAGCUUUCAUUUCGUGUUACUAAUCACUUAGCAACCGAACCGGUAUCUAAUACCCUCAUGCUACUAGGAGUACUAGUAAAGUACACAUCAACAUCAUGUAUAUCAAAUAUACUUCUUUCGACUUUUGCCAGCCUUCUUAUCUACCAAGUAUCUAGAGUUGCUCCGCCUCAGUGACUGUUCCCCUCAUUACAGAAGCACUUAGUCUCGGGUUUGGGUUUAAUCUUGGGUCUCUUCAUUAGUGCAGCAAUUGUUUAGCCGUUUCACGAAGUAUCCCUUCUAGCCCUUGCCUUUCUUGAAACUUAGUGGUUUUUACUAACCAUCAACUAUUGAUGCUCCUUCUUGAUUUCUACUUUCGCAGUGUCAAACAUCGUGAAUCGCUCAAGGAUCAUUGUAUAUAUCCUUGAUAUGUUAUAGUUCAUCACGAAGCUCUCAAAGCUUGGUGGCAGUGACUUUUGGAGAACCAUCACUAUCUCAUCUGGAAGAUUAACUCCCACUUGAUUCAAGUGAUUGUCGUACUCAGACAAUCUGAGCACACGCUCAACGAUUGAGCUUUUCUCCUU